GCUUACCUUGUCUGUUACCUCAUUCGGCAAAUCUCCUAACUCGGCGACUUGGAUGACUCUUACUAUAAGGUUUGUAUCGCACUUGACCAAGCCAGAAAUUACAAGUAAGCUUCAAUUGAUACAUUACCUUGUGCAUCUUCAUCGAUUAAAGAUACCACCCUUGGAUGAAGGAAAAGUACUUCCAGAGAAGAUGCCACAUCUACAUAUAAGACAGAUAAGGCAAGUGAAAAUGAUACCACACUUCGGUACUUAGAAGUUUUGUGAUUACUUAAUGGCUUGGAUCUUGCAAGUCCCCAAUCGAGAAGCUUCCCUCACUCGGGAACUUAAAGGAGCACUGUUUGUACCAUACUUGACCAACCCCGAAACUACUAAGCACCGGUCAACAUUAUACCACCAAGGACCCACAAGAGUCUCCCUCCAACCAGGAGACCAAUCAGCGACACAUGUCAACAUCAGAGACCAAUCAUAACGCGACACGUGUCGAUAUCAGAGGUCAAUCACAACACGACACGUGUCAAUGUCAGAAUGAAACUAGAAACUCACUUCUAUAAAUAGAGAUCAUUCUCUCACAAUAUUUUCUAAUGUUAUUUGUACUAAAUCAUUCGCUAGUACUCACUAAAGGAGAGCUUGAACCUAUGUACUUGUGUAAACCCUUCACAAUUAAUGAGAACUCCUCUACUCCGUGGACGUAGCCAAUCUGGGUGAACCAUGUACAUCUUGUGUUUGCUUCCUUGUCUCUAUCCAUUUGCAUACUUAUCGACAUUAGUGACCGGAGCAAUCUAGCGAAGGUCACAAACUUAACACUUUCUGUUGUACCAAAGUCCUCACUGAUUUUGUGCAUCAACAUGACUCAUUUUGAUGGAAUUCUGAUGUUGAUGAAAAAGACCAUAUAUGCAUGUUUUGACUAGUUAAGAGACUAAUGGUCAUGGCAAGUGGCCUUUUACCACAAUGGUGGAAAGGUGUUGAGCCUUUCCAUAGCAGCAUUGGUUCAAAUCUUGUUCGGUGUCCAACAUCCUAAUCUAACAAAUCUAUCAUUUGACAAUAAAAAAGAGACUACUGGUCAUGAAUUUUUAGAACAUCUCUAAAGAAGAUGUCAAAUUUGAAACAUCAAAUUGAUAUUUGAUGGCUUAUGUGGCGAAUUGACAUUUUGUACAAUUUUUUUAUUCACUCGAUAUGUUAAAUGAUAAUUCCAUUCUAAAUUUUUUUUUAUCACUUUGUAGGGUCCAUUUAUUGAGGCAACCAAUCUAAUUCUUAGAAUACACAACAACAUUUAUUAUAUGCAUUAAAUGUAAUAAAAAAAAAUACUAAAUGCAUUUGACAGUAGAAGACUUUGCCUUCAAUUGACUCAACGCCAUGUAGGAAAUUGAAGGCUCAGUUGGAGAGAGUGUGCUGCCAAUUUUUACUAUUAUAUACUUAUACGACAGUUUUGACAUCUCCUUUAGCGAUACUCUUAGUUGAAGAAUCAUUACUCCAUUGAGUUAAAGUUGAUGAACUAUUUCUACAAUUUUCUCGGAUUUCAUUUGUUGUAGAAGAGAUCUAAUGUAAGUUCCAGCUAUGUGAUGGUUAGCCGUCCAUAUACACAUAGCGACACUGUGAAAGUGAUAGUGUAAAGGGAUUACAUUUGAGAGAAACUCUAAUUUGUGGAACAUUGAAUUUGUGAAACAUCAAAAGCUUGAGAGAAACUAUUUUUUUAAUUAUAAUUAAGAUAAAUAAAAUAUAUCAAAUUAAAACUUUAAAUAGUCCUGGAAAACCCUUGAAAGAAAAACAAAACAAGACAUUACAAAAAAAUUGAAAAUUAAUUUUAAGACUUAAAAGGUGUUUUUAACCUAGGAAAUUUUUGAAACAAAUUGAUCCUAUUUUGCAACGACGAGUUGGACUCAUCUCUUUUUUUCCUGUUCAGAAAGGUAUUUUGAACCAUCACUGAAACACUAUUUACACUAAAAUUCACCUUUUUGAUAUGCUCGUUCAGCCUUACAUCAUACACAAGUAAUAUUUAGUCAUUAAAACCUACAUAGUCUAUAUUUUAUCAACCAUCACGCGUGAAUGACUGAGCUUUACAAAAUCAUGCACAAAUAGAGACCAUUUUUUAAGUAUAAUUGGUUUGUGUCCCUCCAUUCUUGGAGGGUGGGGAGGGUUAUGCAUUUGCUGGUUAUUUUAUGUUGGGGGAUAGAAACCCAAUUGGGGUUCACUUUCUUUUGGGAUUUGGACAAAUGCAGACGGGGGCCUCAUGUUAUGUUCUCAAACAGGAAAGGGGUGAUUCAAGUGGUCCCAUUUGGCACUUGCUGUAUAAAAAUAAGAUGCUGGGGAGAGAUGGACUGAUGGAAGGGAAAGCUGAAUCUUUGUGUAAUCAGAUCUCAAACCUACGAGUUUUCAUUAAAGGGAGGGCUCUAUGUCCUUGCAUGUGGACCAGGACAAGGUGAUGUAAUUUGUCUAUAAAUGAUGAAACAGUCGAGUUGUGGGAAAUAUGUAGAUCGAUUGACAUGAAACCUUUUUAUCUUGUCCAAACAGUCAUCAAAUUCUAAUAUGUUGAAAAGCUGUGUGGAGAAUGGAUAUAAUUAGAUGACUAGAUUUCUUCAUAAGUAAUCCAUUUACGUACCUUAGUUAGUGGGGUGUAUAUUGUUUUUCUGCUUCUUCAUAAUCCCAAAUGAUCGUAUAACUAAUAUGGUCAUUGUUUGUACCAUACUUGACCAAUCCCGAAACUACUGAUCACGGGUCAACAUUAUACCGUCAAGGACCCAGAAGAGUUUCCCUCCAACCAGGAGGCCAAUCACAGUGCGACACGUGUCGACAUCAGAAGUCAAUCACAGCGCGACAUGUGUCAACAUCAGAAGCUAAAUGAAACUAGAAACUUUCUUCUAUAAAUAGAGAUCAUUCUCUCACAAUAUUCCUAAUGUCAUUUGUACUAAAUCAUUCACUUGUACUCACUAAAGGAGAGCUUGAACCUAUGUACUUGUGUAAACCCUACACAAUUAAUGAGAAUCUCCUCUACUCCGUGGAUAUAGUCAAUCUGGGUGAACCAUGUACAUAUUGUGUUUGCUUCCCUGUCUCUAUCCAUUUACAUACUUAUCCACACUAGUGACCGGAACAAUCUAGCGAAUGUCACAAACUUAACACUUUGUUAUACCAAAGUCCUCAUUGAUUUUGUGCAUCAACAGUUAUGAUAAGCCAAUGUUCUUUGAUCACAAACUGUUGAGAUGUGAGUGAUUAUGUGUUGACUGGUAGCCAACAAAAUACACUAAGAUAUUAUGAUACAUUUAUCGACAAUAUAGGUACUCUUUAUCAACAAAAUAUGACAUCCUGCACUAUAUGUACAAGACUAACCAUGACUCAUAAAUCCUAAAGCUACAAAGCAAGGCGCACCUCUUCAUGUGGAAACUUGGCAUACCAAUUCAUCCAAAUUACAAUAUGUAGUAUCGUUGAGUCUAUAUGUUGUAAUGUAAGUGAAUUGGUGAUAUAACGUGAUAUUAUUACUGUCAUACUAAAUUUUAUUAACAAAAAUUAAGAAUAUUGUUUUGUCCAAUCAUAACUAUUUUUGUUGACGUUUGCAUGGCACAACCAAAAUCGUAUGUCACGUUGCACUUAUUCUCUAAAGCAAACCUAACUCACUUUAAACUCCUACUGCACUCUCCACGUAUAUUUCAAGUACUUUUUAAGAAGUUAUUUGUAUCAUAUAGAAAACCUUACUCAGAUCGCUACAAUUAGAAGAAAUUAUUAGGUAGUAUAUAUAGGGGUGUGAUAUCCACACAUCUUUUUUUACUUCUCACACACCCUUCUAAUUUUUGGCCGUCGGAUCGGAUAAAAUGAAGAAGAUCAACGAACAUAAAUUAACAAGGGGUGUGUGAGAAGUAAAAAAGGGUGUGUGGAUAGCACUAUCCACACAUCCCUUUUUACCACACAUCCUUUUUUACUUCUCACACACCCUUUGAUAAUUUAUGUCCGUUGAUCUUCUUCAAUUCAUCCGAUCCAACUGUCGAAAAUUAAAAAAGUGUGUAAAAAGUAAAAUGGGAUGUGUGGAUAUCACACCCCUAUAUAUAUUUAUUUGAUGGUCUGAUGGAUGAUGGAUCUCUGUUCGCAAGAGUAAUAAUUCUUCACAAGUUCGCAUCAGAAACAUUGUUAUCAUGUCCUUUAUCUAGUUGUCAUCAUCAUAAGUUAAGGAAAUACCAAAGUAUAUUAGCUUUAGAUACGUUUAACAAAACUAUUCUCUUUUUGGUUUAUAUAUAACCGCCCAACAGUACGUAUUAUUAUCUUCGAAUAUCAUGUGUACGCGUACAUUAGAAAAAUAAAAAGUAAAACAAUUGUUUCUCACAACGGAAAUUCCUAUUGAGUAGUUCGAUAUGUUUGCUCGUAUUAGCAAUAUUAUUUGUUAUCUGGAAAUAGUUGAUGAACCAUUAAGUUCAAUUGAAAAAAAAAAAGUAGGAAGAAUUAAUAGUGGGUUUUACAAAUAUGUUUUCAAUUAAUCAUGAACAGAAACUCAACCAGUAAAAGAAGGAAUGAGUAGAGGAGACUGAUUGUGCCAAAUGAUCCUCCUACUCCAAGCUGCACUGGUUUGUGUGCGUACUCUUAUGAAUUGCAGACUUGCAGAGAGUUGUCCAGCUGCUCUGGCGUAUAUACGUACUUCAAGCUUCACUUACACCAUGUAUGGUAGAGAAUCCCACCACAAAGAAAGAUCACACAACACAAAAAAGGGAUCAUCAAUCAUGAUUGCUUAGAUGAUAGAGUGCCGUGUACAUCAUAAGAUAUAGUUUUCUUUUCGUCCUUUGUGCGGUUACAAACUUACGAGUUUUCGUACUCGAAUUUCAUGUAUUUAUUAAAUUUUCAAGACAAAAGUAGAGCCUUGUACACUGAAUUUGCAAUUAACAAGUCAUUAAGGUGAUCUUUAGACAUGCAGAGGUAAACUUAGCGUCGAAUUUAAGCUAUGUUUUAGCUCUUCAAAAAUUAGAUUUUGUAAAGAAUAGUUCAUGUCGUCUUCAUCUCCAACAUUGGAUGGCUAUAUUUCAAACCCCUUAAUAUAUGUUAUAUUGUAGUGCUAAGUAAAAAUUAUGAUACAACACAUUAUAGAAAUAUAAAUCAAUUUUAAGGAAAUAUGAGGGAGGCUUGUAGGCUAUGACUCACUAAUCAUGAUGCGGGAGCCAAGGCUUUAAAAAAUUAAAAAAAAAUUGAAAACUUCUCGUUGGCAUUGGAAAUUCAAAUAAUAAAGGCAUUGUAAUUUAUUUUAAUGACAUAGGAACUUGUUAAGUCAUUUCUAGAGAGUUUUUUAGGAAGUUGUGGUCUAUUUAUGCUUCUUUAUCUUUAGUUCCUUUAAAUAUUGAUGUAUUAGAAGCCAUUGCUAGACUUGAAUGAAUUAAAAUAUAUUUUGCUUUGUGCAAUUGAAGUGAGUGAUUUCUCCUUCCCCAAUCAAGCAUUUGGCUUGGUCAUCCAUGAUUAACGACGUGAGAUAGCUCCGUUGCCCCUGGUUGAGCGAAUCCCAGGUUAUCUAUUCCCUUCUCCUCGAUACCCUUGGUUCUGUCCUGCAUCAAAUGGCAUUAGAGCAGGUUUUCCGCUGCAGUUGAAAAUCAUGGCUAUGAUUAUCAAUCCGUUUCAAGAUCACAUCGUUGAAGAGAUUAGUUUCAUCGAUUGGAAUUCACCACCAAUUUAUGAUGAAUACGUUGAUGAAGACGAAGUCAAAAAUCAUUUUGUGAAUGAAGUUAAUGACAUCGAGCCUUCCAUGCAUCAAAUGGUAAUCUGUUACUGCUAUUCAUCUUUUGGAUGCUACAAGGAUCUUCAAAGUACUCCAAGCAUGAUGCAAAUGGAGAUGCUUCAGACCUACAAGGAAUGGAUGAUGGCAAGGUGCUACUGAUGUCCCAAAUGAAUUUUGAAAAGAAUUUCAGACAGUCUACAAUUUUUGUGACUUCAACAUGGAUGGAACAAGGCGAUGUCCCUCCUUCCUCAAGCCCAGCAAUGAUGCUUAAAGAGGCCACUCAUGUGAUAAGUUGCGGUUAUGAAGACAAAACUGAAUGGGGUUUAAAGAUAGGUUGGAUUUACAAAUUUAUCAUAGAGAGCAUUCUAAGGGGUUUCAAGAUGCAUUCUAGUGUGGUUGGAGGUCAUUUUCAAUCAAAAAGAAGGAACCAGGGCCUACAACGUUUGAAAGAAUGGGGAAAUGGUAUUUUCAUGAAUAUUUUGUGGCUUGGAACACUUUGAUCGCCGUGAACUUCAUUUUACUAUUGUGGUUGUUGUGGAAGAAUCUGCAAGGUCAUCCCAAAGAUCGAGGAAGACCAAAUGGAACUUGAGGACGAGUUUUCUUCGAGAAUGGGAGAAUGAUGCGGGAGCCAAGGCUUAAAAAAACAAAAAAAUAAACACAAAUUGAAAACUUCUCGUUGGCAUCGGAAAUUCAAAUAAUAAAGGCAUUGUAAUUUAUUUUAAUGACAUAGGAACUUGUUAAGUCAUUUUUAGAGAGUUUUUUAGGAAGUUGUGGUCUAUUUAUACUUCUUUAUCUUUAGUUCCUUUAAAUAUUGAUGUAUUAGAAGCCAUUGCUAGACUUGAAUGAAUUAAAAUAUAUUUUGCUUUGUGCAAUUGAAUUGAGUGAUUUCUCCUGCCCCAAUUAAGCAUUUGGCUUGGUCGUAUGAGUGAAUCCACGAUUAGCGACGUGAGCUAGCUUCGUUGCCCCUAGUUGACGAAUCUCAGGUUAUCUAUUCCCCUCUCCUCGAUACCCAUGGUUCUGUCCUGUAUCAAAUCAAGUGCGAGAUUUCUCCUCUAGAUCAUUGAUUAAGGAGUUCAUAUUUCUCUGAGCUUAUCAUUUAUAAGAAAGAGAUGUUGUAACAAAGUAUCCUAAAAUGAAAUCCUUGGUACCGAAAUGAUUAGUCACUUCUUCAUUCAGUACAGUUUUUUUUUCUUUUCUUUUUUUUUUUUUGCUUCAAAAGGGAUCAUGGCUUCGCCACGGUAAUCUACCUUUUUGAAGGCCAGAAAGACUCACAAAGGCAUUUCAGCCUCUCUGGCCCAUCGUGCUAUUCACAAGUGCAAGGAAUUGAACCCAAGAGAUACCGUGUGAAAUACAUAUCUUAAAUUUAUCCCCAACCACUAGACCACCCUGUGGUGGUAUCAUUCAGUAUAGUUAAUUUGAUAUUUAAUUGAUAUUUCCAACUCAUUUAGUUAUAUACUUUAGUUUAGAUUAAAUUUCCAAACCACGUAGUUCUUUUCCCAAUUGACUUGAUCUGGUCACGGAUUAGUAAUAGAACUUUGAAAUUAUUGAUAAUUAUGUGACAGAGAAAAUCCUUAAAACAGCCCGCCAGAAGAUAAGUGCUAGUUAAUAGAGGUAGGAGCAAACAUUCAUGAAAUGAAAUGUCAGGUUCAUCAGUCUUCUCCCCCACUAUAACUAAUUGAGCUGUAUGUUGAUUAAUUAAGAAGAAUCAAGUAGUUAGGCCCUUCCAUCAUCUUCACCUACUACUAUAAGUUCCAACAAUUAUAAUACUAAUCUAAUUGGGCCAACAGAAAAUUAAUGUAACACCUCAUUCACAACGUACCAUAACUAAUUUAAUGUGAUAUUCUGCAUCCAAUAGGAAGUUUUCAAAUUGAAAUCCAACUUGCUUUAUAUGUAUAGGGUGAAAACGUCAAACAUGUUUGGUGGGUUUUAAGUCAGAUUUGGGUAUUUUAAGUUGGGUUAGAAGGUUUAUUAGUUUUCAGCCAUUAGAUUAAUGCAACGGGCGCGUAGAGUGGUUAGUUUUCUAUUACAUUUUUAACUAGUUAGCGCUUGAACACUCUUGCAUAAUACGUAACAAAUAUAAUGUUUGGUUCAAUAUCGAGGUUGAGGAUGAGAAUUAUAAAUUUUCCAGUUUGAGAUAUAUGGUAUUCGAAUUAAAAGUUUUCUAUCAGAAUUAAAACCAGAUCAAGGAAACAAGAAUAUAGUUGAUAGCCAACUAGGUUAAGUUGGGCAGUUUUGUGUCUUAGAAGAAACGCCGACUCUCGUUCACAUCCAUAUUGAGUUAAGAAAUUAAAGUACAAAAUGCCUAUGAGUCGAACAAAGGAACGUUGAUCUUGGGAAAUUUACAACAGGACGAGAACCUGAAAUCAUCAUUUCAAAUGUGUAGGUUGUUAUAUAUGUGCAUCACAUGACCUCUAUGAUAGCAGUGUUUAUCUAGGAUGCGUGAGAGUGUGCAACGGGCUAGGGCAGCUUGACCAUGCCCAGUUUAAUGUCAACCUAGCACAACACAUCAUGAUUUUUUGAGGACUAGGGCAAGCAUGGGACACGCCAUGGCGUGAGACACGAUUUUCGUUGCACGUCUCUGACGCGGGCACGAGCUCAUUGUGAGCUGGACUCGUGCGAAACCCUACCUACCUCCAAACUACAUGCAACUAAAACGUAGUUUGAAUUAUAUGAUAUCCAAAAUAUCAGAUUUAUAGGUUUACCCUCCCUAUAGCUGGAUGACAUCCCGACUACGGGAGAGGCAAGAAUUCAUUCCAGGGAUUUCAAGUAAUUGACCGUGUCAAGGAAGAGUUGGAGAAUAUUUGCCCCGGUGUAGUGUCAUGUGUGGACAUUCUCGUGGUGGCUGCGAUAGACGCCGUUCUGAUAUUCACUCUUAAAAUAAUUAGUUCUCCGCUUCAACUUUAUUUUACUUUACUUUCCACACACCAUUUCUGGCUUCGUCACUGUUUGGACCUGAUUUUACACAUCGGCCUAAGCAAUCGAGGCCGUUGAGUAAGCAUGGUUCUCAACCGUUGGAUAAGAAAGUUUAGAUAUUAUUGUUAAGAGAUAAUAUUAUGAUUUUUAAUCAUAAUAAUUAUUUUUUUUAUAAGUUAUCCCGGUUUUUUAUGCAAAAUAAAUGGGAUGGAGGCAAGUAGAGUUGUGAUGGGGACGUGAGCUUUGAAUCAUGUUGGUUUGUUUUGCUGGACAUGCAUGCAUGGGAUGUAAAGAUAAUGAAGUGAUAGGGGAUAAAUCCAAACAUGCCAAAACGUGUAAUUUGCAAAAGAAUUGUGCAAUAUGGAGAUUCUAUCCUAAUGCAUGGUUUUUUGGGUUUGGUUUUGUGCACGUGGCAUGCGACAAUGGAGAUGAUGGUUUUGCAUGGUGAUGGCAAUAUGGGUUUAAAGGUUUCUCAUGUUUUUUUAAUAAGAAGCCUAGGUGGGUUAGAUCUCUAGUGAGAUGUGAUAAAGCCUAGGUAGGCUUUAUUUAUCUGAAGGAUAUGUGCGGCGUAUUUGAUACGGGAUCAGGGUCAAUUCCACAAAAUAGAGUUGCAGUUGGACUCUACAAAAUUAUUUGGCCGCGUCACACAACAUUUGCUCCUAUAAAUACAGAGAUAGUGGCAACGGAAGAAAGACCCCUGCAAAUCAAUACAAAAUUGCCCUGCGCAAAUUCUCACAACUUGUGAUUUUUCUUUUUCCUUUUUCGCUGACACAUCUUCCGUUGGCGUCAACAGCACUGUGGAAGCAACCGGUGAUAUCUUAAGUCGGCAUAGAUAGCUCUGUCACCGUAGAAUCAAUCGGUCUCGCAGUAUCUUCCGUUGGCAUCAACAGCACUGCGGCGAGAACGGUUAAUUACCUAUCCAAGUCUCGGUCGAGAAGGGUUUCUGAACCCUUAUUGGUCGAUGUCAUCUCAUCAGCCUUCUCGGCGAAGUGAGGUGUUACACGUUAUUACGUUCGGCAUAUUGAAAGCCGAAUUUGAUAUUGAACUUCGUAAGAAUAGUAACCUUGUCUUCAGGUUCGAGAGCCCAAGAGGCCGAGACGUGUUCCUUUCUCGGCCGCAAUCGCAAGACGCAGAAGUCAGCCGCGCACCCAACGCAACAUCAACAAAUUUACUCCUUGGCCGAGCUCGGCCGACGAGUUGGCACGCCCUGCAUUCACCGAAGGACGUAGUUAGCUCAUUAAUUAUUCGGCCUGCACGCCACGUAGGCUUUGUAGUUUUUAGGGUCAACAUUUUGGCACGCCCAGUGGGACCCAGUGCUAAACUACGAAGUUCACAUGAUCUAUCUCGAUCCGGCUUCAAGGGAUGAGUGUUAUCGCCUAUUAAAGGAGCAAAAACAACUUCUCGAAAGUUUGAGAAGAAUUUCUGAAAGGCAAAAGGCCGAGGGGCAAAUCUCCACUCCGGCCACAACCAAUAUUCGGCCUAAGAAAAGUGAUAAUUUGGCCGAAGAACAAAGGCCACUUGUUGUUUCGGUAGAGACUGAAAAUAUAGUAGGCCUAGAAGAAAAAAUUCAAGUCCCUAAGCUAUAUACAAAAAUUGACUUGGAAAAAGAUUCGUCAAAAGAAUGCUCUAGUGACGAACGAGGCCGAAAUAUUGGCCUAGCCCGAGAAACUACGCCAAUUGAUAUGAUUAUUGGCAAUAAAGCCGAUAUGGAGAAAUCCUGUUCGGCUAAGUUAUUUGAAUUAAAAGCCGAAAUUAUGCUUGGGGGGCUGUUUGGACUCAAAUUUACACCAUCGGCCCAUGUAAUCAAGGCCGUUGAGUGAGCAUAGUUCUCGACCGUCAGAUGGAAAAGUGAAGAUAUUUUUGUUAAAGGAUAAUAUUAUGAUUUUUUAUCAUAAUAAUUAUUUUUUAAUGAUGAAUUAUCUUGAUUUUUUCCUGGUACAAGAUGGAUGAGAUGUAAAUGUAGUUCAAUUUGAUUUGGGAUUCUUGGAGUUAAGACGCGUGGUGGAUUGGGAGCAUCAGAGCACGUUAUUAAGAGUCCUAAUACACUACUGCAUUGUUGGCAAAUGGAAAUUGGCAGAGAUAUUAAUGCUUGCAUAAAGAUGAAGAUGUUAAAUUGGAGAUGGAUAGCCACGUGUGAGUGGAUUUGGUGGAGCCAUGCAUGCAUAUCAUUAUUUCAAGUCAAGAUGCUUAUCGGCACUAAUUGGUAUAUGCUAAUAUGCUAUUAAUUAGCAAGAGGUGGUUGCAUGUUGGUAAGUGAUAACAAUCUUUUUGCAUGAGAUUGUUAUGAAUGAGGACUUUGAUGUUGGCGGCAGCUUUACAACACGAGCCGUCAGGAUGAGGAUGAUACUUAUAAAUACAGAGUCGCAAACAACGGGUAGGACCCCUGCAAAUCAAUACAAAAUUGCCCUGCGCAAAUUCUCACAACUUGUGAUUUUUCUUUUUUCCUUUUUUCGCUGACACAUCUUCCGUUGGCAUCAACAGCACUGUGGAAGCAACCGGUGAUAUCUUAAGUCGGCAUAGAUAGCUCUGUCACCGUAGAAUCAGUCGGUCUCGCAGUAUCUUCCGUUGGCAUCAACAGCACUGCGGCGAGAACGAUUGAUUAUCUAUCCAAGUCUCGAUCGAGAAGGAUUUCUGAAUCCUUGUUGGUCGAGGUCAUCUCAUCAGCCUUCUCGGCGAAGUGAGGUGUUACAAGUGACUACAUUCGGCACGUUGAAAGCCGAAUUUGAUAUUGAGCUUCGUAAAAAUGGUAACCUUGUCUUCAGGUUCGAGAGCCCAAGAGGCCGAGACGUGUUCCUUUCUCGGCCGCAAUCGCAAGACGCAGAAGUCAGUAGCGCGACCCAACGCAACAUCAACAAAUUUACUCCUCGGCCGAGCGCGGCCGACGAGUUGGCACGCCCUGCAUUCACCGAAGGACGUAGUUAGCUCAUUAAUUACUCGGCCUGCGCGCCACGUAGGCUUGGUAGUUUCUAGGGUCAACAUUUUGGCACGCCCAGUGGGACCCAGUGCUAAUACUACGAAGUUCAUAUGUUAUAUCAAGAUUCCAAUCUGGCUCAACGUAGCUGAUUGUACGAGCUCCUGGAGGAAUUGAAAAAACAUAAUGAGGAAUGCAAAAAAUCUUUGGAAGCAGAAAAAGUUCUUCGUGGCCAUAAAGAGAUGCAAAAGUCAUUCGCUUGCAUGGUGAAAAUAAAAGCUCCUGUUACCCUGCAUGGGUAAAUGAAGACAGGGCUCGAUUUAAUGCCUGGCUAGAUGAAGAACGUUUUCCUUACGUUUCUGAUUACAGAUCAAUUCCAUUUGAAAAAUGGUUAGGUCCAAAGGCCGGGGGGCAAUUUUUCGCUCCGGCCACAAUCAAAAUUCGGCCUCAAAAAAUUGUUAAGGCGGCCGAAGAAAUACUUAGGCCACCUGUUGUUUCGGUCGAGAUUCAAAGUGUGGUAGGCCUAGACGAAAAAGUUGAAGUUUCUGAGCUAAAAAUCGACUCAGAAAAUGAUUCGUCAGAAGAGUGCUCCAAUGACGAACAAGACCAAUACACGACUUCAAACCAUAAAAUCACAUCGAUUGAUAUGGUAAUUGAAGACAUAGGUCUAGCCGAAAAAAUCACGCCAAUUGAUCUGAUUAUUGGUGAUAAAGCCGAUAUGGAGAAAUCCCGUUCGGCUAAGUUGCUCGAGUUAAAAGCCGAAAUUGGUGAAAUAAUUAUGCCCAGGGGGCAUAAUACUUGUUCCACACAUUCGGCGGCUGAAAAUGCAAAAUAUUUUGCCGAGUCAAAAAUAUUUGGGAAAAAUUCUUUAUUCGGCCUAGAGCGAAAUCAAUUUGAAAAUUUUGAUGCAAAAAGAUCUUGGCUUGGAAUAAAACAUCGUUGGUCUCCUCCUGAUUAUGGUUCGGCCACUUUUAUUUUCGUUUGCUAAAAUAUUAAAUAAAUUAUUUUCUUAACUAUUCGGCUUUUUAGGCCGAUGCAUAAACAUAAAAAGGGGGUAGUAUUGUUUUGACCGAUUUGUGUUCGGAUUUAAGAUUUAUUCGGCAUAUAACAUAUCAUGCAGAAAUUAAUCAUGGCAUGAACUGUUCUAGCACGAAGUGUUACAAUUUGGCGUCAAAGCAGGAGUUGAAUCAUGGCAUCUGCAAUUAGAGUCUCGGCCAAAAGAGUGGUUGCCGAGCCAUUCAAUGCACCUGGGAUUGGUUUGGCCGAAUAUAUAUAUAUAAGAGUUUAGCCGAACUCUCGACUACCUUACAAAAGCCUCGGCCAAAGCUGCAUAUAUAUGAUUCGGCCAAAACUGUAUAUAUAUAUAUAUAUAUAUAUAGGAAUUGCUUAAGGGGAGGGAUCCCCAUUUUUUCAAAAAAAUGGGGACACACUCCCCACCGUUGGAUUUGAAUUAAAUGAAAUCCUGUGGUUGAGAUUCUAUGGCCUGUGUUUUAAUCUCAACCACACAAUUUCAUUAAAGUCAAUCUAACGGUGGGGAGCGUGUCCCCAUUUUUUUUGAAAAAAUGGGGAUCCCUCCCCUUAAGCUCCCUGUAUAUAUAUAUAUAUAUAUAUAUAUAUAAAGAAAAUGGGGAUUCUCGGCCACAACUAUAUAUAUAUAUAUAUAUAUAUAUAUAUUGGGGGGGUUGUUUUUAAUGAGGGCAUUAGAGACUCGGUGGACGUCAAAUCUUGGUCAAAUGAGUGGGUCUGAGUUUCAAUGGCCAUGUGGGGUCGAGGGUUCAUGAUUUAUCUUGGUCAUGAUAGAUGAGUGAUAUUCAAUUGGAGGAAUUCAGCACAGUAUUUUGCCGAAUAAGUUUUUAUUCGGCGGUGGUUUCUCCAAUAAUUCUCGGCCAUAUGUUUUUCUCGGUCACUCGGAGGUAGUCAGUCAUCGGUAUUAUUAUUGGUAAAUCAGUAUUAUUGGAUGAUCAGACUUGGUGCAUACAGCUGAGCUAUCAGGGAUAAGGCCGAGUAAUCAACCGAGCUACCAAGAAUUAGUCAUUGCUGAGCCUUGCAUAUAGAAUGAUGGCUACGAACAAUUAAUUUCCUUAAAUAUUCGGCUUAUGAGCCGAAGUUCAAGGAAAUUGGGGGGCAAUGUUUGGACUCAAAUUUACACCAUCGGCCCAUGUAAUCAAGGCCGUUGAGUGAGCAUAGUUCUCGACCGUCAGAUGGAAAAGUGAAGAUAUUUUUGUUAAAGGAUAAUAUUAUGAUUUUUUAUCAUAAUAAUUAUUUUUUAAUGAUGAAUUAUCUUGAUUUUUUCCUGGUACAAGAUGGAUGAGAUGUAAAUGUAGUUCAAUUUGAUUUGGGAUUCUUGGAGUUAAGACGCGUGGUGGAUUGGGAGCAUCAGAGCACGUUAUUAAGAGUCCUAAUACACUACUGCAUUGUUGGCAAAUGGAAAUUGGCAGAGAUAUUAAUGCUUGCAUAAAGAUGAAGAUGUUAAAUUGGAGAUGGAUAGCCACGUGUGAGUGGAUUUGGUGGAGCCAUGCAUGCAUAUCAUUAUUUCAAGUCAAGAUGCUUAUCGGCACUAAUUGGUAUAUGCUAAUAUGCUAUUAAUUAGCAAGAGGUGGUUACAUGUUGGUAAGUGAUAACAAUCUUUUUGCAUGAGAUUGUUAUGAAUGAGGACUUUGAUGUUGGCGGCAGCUUUACAACACGAGCCGUCAGGAUGAGGAUGAUACUUAUAAAUACAGAGUCGCAAACAACGGGUAGGACCCCUGCAAAUCAAUACAAAAUUGCCCUGCGCAAAUUCUCACAACUUGUGAUUUUUCUUUUUUCCUUUUUUCGCUGACACAUCUUCCGUUGGCAUCAACAACAGCACUGUGGAAGCAACCGGUGAUAUCUUAAGUCGGCAUAGAUAGCUCUGUCACCGUAGAAUCAGUCGGUCUCGCAGUAUCUUCCGUUGGCAUCAACAGCACUGCGGCGAGAACGAUUGAUUAUCUAUCCAAGUCUCGGUCGAGAAGGAUUUCUGAAUCCUUGUUGGUCGAGGUCAUCUCAUCAGCCUUCUCGGCGAAGUGAGGUGUUACAAGUGACUACAUUCGGCACGUUGAAAGCCGAAUUUGAUAUUGAGCUUCGUAAAAAUAGUAACCUUGUCUUCAGGUUCGAGAGCCCAAGAGGCCGAGAUGUGUUCCUUUCUCGGCCGCAAUCGCAAGACGCAGAAGUCAGUAGCGCGACCCAACGCAACAUCAACAAAUUUACUCCUCGGCCGAGCGCGGCCGACGAGUUGGCACGCCCCGCAUUCACCGAAGGACGUAGUUAGCUCAUUAAUUACUCGGCCUGCGCGCCACGUAGGCUUGGUAGUUUCUAGGGUCAACAGGGGCAUAAUAAUUGUUCAGCGCAUUCGGCAGCUGAUAAAAAAUCUUUCGUCAAGUCAAACAUAUUUGGAGAUAGUAUUUUAUUCGGCCUUGCAAAAAUUCAAAGUGAAAGUUUUGAUACAAAAAGCCUUCGGCUUGGAAUAAAACAUCGUUGGCCUCCUCCAUUUAUAGUAGGGCCACUUUUGUUUUCUUUUGCUACAAAAUAAGAAUAAAUUAUUUUCUUAACCAUUCGGCUUUUUAGGCCGAUGCUUAAGAAAAUAAAGGGGGCAAUAAGAUGGUGCGGACUUAGAAAAACAAGAAAAAACAAGAUGGUGUACUCGGCAGACAAUUUUGGUCAAAUAAUGGUGUAUUUGGCAGACAGUUUUGGUCGAAUGAAUUUGCGAGAGCAUGCAUGACAAUUGUUCGGCAGACAGUUUUGGUCAAAUGAAUUUAUGGGAGCAUGCAUGGUUGCGAAGCUUGCUCAAUUCAGUUUCGAUGUGCGGUUUAAUAUAUAUAUAUAUAUAUAUAUAUAUAUAUAUAUAUAUAUAUAUAUAUGUCAGAAUGACCCAUCACAUGAAACAGAAAGAGAGACGCAUACGGAAAAGACAAAGGAAUAUUCAUGAAGUUAUGGUAGGCUUCCAUAUGGGCUAACAUUUUCGUUUGGUGAUGUAGUGAUCUGUGAAUUCCUAACAGCAUUAUUUGGCCGAAUACAAAUCUUUGGCCGAAUAAAACAUAGUUCGGCCGAAUAGAAUGGGUUAUAUAUAUAUAUAUAGGCUCUACAGCCAGUUCUUCUCGGUCUCGGCCCCAUUUACUCUCGAUCCCAGUAUUUUUGACCGAUACUAGUGUUUUCUCGACCCCGACAGUUGAGAGUUGGAGUAGUUCACGACACUGGCAGAGGGAGGUUAUGACAUUGGCAGAACAUAGGUGAUUUUAAUACCGAGAGACAAAAUUUGUUUCGGCAAUACGACGAAGUGUUGUUGGCUACGAGCAAUUAAUUUCCUUAACCAUUCGGCUUACGAGCCAAAGCUCACGGAAACUGGGGGGCAAUGUUUGGACCUGAUUUUACACAUCGGCCUAAGCAAUCGAGGCCGUUGAGUAAGCAUGGUUCUCAACCGUUGGAUAAGAAAGUUUAGAUAUUAUUGUUAAGAGAUAAUAUUAUGAUUUUUAAUCAUAAUAAUUAUUUUUUUUAUAAGUUAUCCCGGUUUUUUAUGCAAAAUAAAUGGGAUGGAGGCAAGUAGAGUUGUGAUGGGGACGUGAGCUUUGAAUCAGGUUGGUUUGUUUUGCUGGACAUGCAUACAUGGGAUGUAAAGAUAAUGAAGUGAUAGGGGAUAAAUCCAAACAUGCCAAAACGUGUAAUUUGCAAAAGAAUUGUGCAAUAUGGAGAUUCUAUCCUAAUGCAUGGUUUUUUGGGUUUGGUUUUGUGCACGUGGCAUGUGACAAUGGAGAUGAUGGUUUUGCAUGGUGAUGGCAAUAUGGGUUUAAAGGUUUCUCAUGUUUUUUUAAUAAGAAGCCUAGGUGGGUUAGAUCUCUAGUGAGAUGUGAUAAAGCCUAGGUGGGUUAGAUCUCUAGUGAGAUGUGAUAAAGCCUAGGUAGGCUUUAUUUAUCUGAAGGAUAUGUGCGGCGUAUUUGAUACGGUAUCAGGGUUUAUCUGAAGGAUAUGCGCGGCAUAUUUGAUACGGGAUCAAGGUCAAUUCCACAAAAUAGAGUUGCAGUUGGACUCUACAAAAUUAUUUGGCCGCGUCACACAACAUUUGCUCCUAUAAAUACAAAGGUAGUGGCAACGGAAGAAAGACCCCUGCAAAUCAAUACAAAAUUGCCCUGCGCAAAUUCUCACAACUUGUGAUUUUUCUUUUUCCUUUUUCGCUGACACAUCUUCCGUUGGCGUCAACAGCACCGUGGAAGCAACCGGUGAUAUCUUAAGUCGGCAUAGAUAGCUCUGUCACCGUAGAAUCAAUCGGUCUCGCAGUAUCUUCCGUUAGCAUCAACAUCACUGCGGCGAGAACGGUUGAUUACCUAUCCAAGUCUCGGUCGAGAAGGGUUUCUGAACCCUUAUUGGUCGAGGUCAUCUCAUCAGCCUUCUCGGCGAAGUGAGGUGUUACACGUUAUUACGUUCGGCAUAUUGAAAGCCGAAUUUGAUAUUGAACUUCGUAAGAAUAGUAACCUUGUCUUCAGGUUCGAGAGCCCAAGAGGCCGAGACGUGUUCCUUUCUCGGCCGCAAUCGCAAGAUGCAGAAGUCAGCCGCGCACCCAACGCAACAUCAACAAAUUUACUCCUCGGUCGACGAGUUGGCACGCCCCGCAUUCACCGAAGGACGUAGUUAGCUCAUUAAUUAUUCGGCCUGCGCGCCACGUAGGCUUUGUAGUUUUUAGGGUCAACAGUCACAUUUCAGGUGUCGGCUAACACUACUUAUUUUCGGUGUCCACUUGAAUAUAUGGGUCAGGGUGUGUCAUAAUGAACGCAGGCGAGCAUGGAUUCGCAACGGGGGUUCAAAAUCAAGUAGAUCCGAAUUGAAUCUCACAAAAACCCGACUGGAUUAUCAUCGGGAAGACUGUAGGCUCUCGAGGAUGGGUGGUUUCACCAGAAAAUGGUCAAACAAGGCCGGGGACAGGGACGACGCAAAAAUGGCAUCAUUUGGUCCUAGGGUUUCAGAAUAAGAGCAGCUAGGCUCCUUGUGGCUUGCGACGCAGCUUGGCGACUCGGCUUACACGCUUCAGGUCGUGGCUCGCGCGGGAGGUUGCAGCAACCCUAAUUUUCUUCUUUCUUUCUGUUCUCACACAAUCAUUAAUUCACCACAACAACAUAUAAGCAAAAUAAUAUUAUAAUUCGAAAAGCAUAAAAUUGGGUUCAUGCACUAUGUUGAAGAUUUCAUGCAAUUAGAGCUGGAAAAAAAAUCAAAAUUGAAACCGUAUUUUAGAAGUUACUUAGAUUGUAUGAUCAAAAUUUUGAGCUGUUUUGUAGCAGAAAAUAGCCUCUAGAUUCAUAGCGCAACGUCUAGAGUGUGCUGAUAACAUUUUGUUUCAUAUUUUACUAAAAGAAAGGGAAAUGGUGUGGUGAUAGUGGUGGAGAAAAAGACUCGGAAAAAUUGGUGUAUGUUCCCUUGUGCCAAUGCCUUUAUUUAUAGUAAACAGAAAGAAGAAGCAAACUUGCUCACCAAAAACACAUAGUCUAAUAGAAAAAAAAAAUCAUCUAAAUUACAUAGAAAUCCUAAUUCAAAUCUACCAAAAUUUACCGAAUUAUACUACAUCAAUAUUAAAUGUAACAAUAUUGACUAUGAUCCUACAGUUUUAUUUGCCAGUGUAUGUCUUUUAGCUAGCUUUAUAAUAACUUAUCAAUUUGAAUUUUUUGUCCCAACAAGUAAGCUAAUAUAUAUUAAAAAAUUAGUAUGUGUACACACACAAGAGAGCCAUAUAGUCUUUGGUCUUAUUGUCUCAAAAGUCAGAAGAGAAGACCCGAAGAACGAGCACUCCUCCAUAGUCCACAUUUCUCUACGGUCAUAUUCGGCGGACAAAAUUCUAUGCUCCAACGUCUUCGCUCUCCUUUUUUUUUUUUUUUUUUUUUUUUUUUUUUUUUUUUUUUUUUUUUUUUUUUUUUUUUUUUUUUUUUUUUUUUUUUUUUUUUUUUUUUAGCAAAUGAUAUUAUUUAUAUUAAAUGAUUGAGAUAACAUGUCAAAUUUCACACGUAACUAGCUAUAAUAAUGUUAUUUAAAUUCAUCUUUGACGAGAAUUGAAACUAAGACCUUACUUAUAAGUGAAAAUUAAUAUCAUUAACUCGUAGUACUAAAUAACACUUUAAUCUUUAAAAUUUACAAUCAAACUAGAUUUUUUUUCUCCUUUCUAUAUCCCGUGUUCCAAUUUCCACAUCCACACUUACAAAGUCGUACACGAUGACAUAGCACCAUACCCAUAUAUGGCAUUUGAUGUUUCUAGUCCUCGACUAACAUGAAACGUACAGUCGAUUCUUUCCCUUAGUCCCACUAGUCACAUGUGAUUCCUAUUCUUUUAUAAACAACUUUUUUUUAUUUAUUUUUUUUCAGCCAAAGAAGUUAAUUAAAAUUUUCAAACUGAAAAAUUAUUUAAUCAAUUACAAUAGCAUAAUAUUCAAACUGGAAUUUUUUUUUUUUUAGAGAAUGAUUUUCUACUCAAGAGGUGUGGGGAUUGAACCAUGCCACAUAAGGGGUUAGCUCUUAACUAAAUAUCAAACUCAACUCGAAUAUAAUACAUCAUCGCGAUCCAUAUGAGCAAAACCUGAGACGACUCACUUGAAAAUAGAGAUAAUUAUCACUAAAUCAUAGUACUAGCUGGUCACUUUAAUACAGUACUCACACUUGUAGGCUUUGGCUACACUAGCAUCAAUUAACUCUUGAUAUAACGUAAUUUUACUUCUUAAUAUUAUUCCCAAUUGAUUAACAAAACUACUAUAACAAAAACAAAUAAUAUAACUAAAAUAUGGACUUACGAAAAAUAAAAGAAAAUGAUUUUCGUACAAUUUUCCUCACUCUACGCAUCUCUAUUUAUUUUAAUCUAUCGAUUCUCAUUUAUUUCAUUUAAUUCAAAUACUAGAAAUAAAGUGGCAUUAAGACUAAGAAGGUACAAAUCCCAUCAGCUCAUGGGCAUUAGUGGAAUUUCGCCCUUCUUUAACUGCAUUGUCCCUCCAUAUGCAAGUUAAUUUCACGCGGAUACAAACCCAAUACUUAACUAAGCAACAACAGGCCCACAUUUGACCAACAACUAAUUUAGUCGUAUUUACAUACACACCCCUGUCCCACCACCACCAAGUCAAAACGACGACGUCACCUUCGUCCUCAAAAACUCCUCCAACCUCCACUUCCUUCCAAAACACAACAAACUCAAACCUCUCCGUCUGAGAAACUCUGGAGCACCAAACAAUCAACUCGCCACUAAAAAUGGGGAGGGAGCGGGACCAUCUCUACAUCACCGUUCCCAACCUCUUCCGCUGCCCCAUCUCCAUGGACGUCAUGCGCUCCCCCGUCAGCCUCUGCACCGGCGUCACCUACGACCGCGCCAGCAUCCAGCACUGGCUCGAAUCCGGCCACGACACCUGCCCCGCCACCAUGCAGAUCCUCCAGUCCAAAGACGUCAUCCCCAACCUCACCCUCCGCCGUCUCAUCAACCUCUGGGCCCAGUCCCACGGCCCUUCCUCGCCGGCCUCCUCUCCCUCUCUCUCCUCCCAGCACCUCGCCUCCCUCGUUCAAUUUCUCCGCAAUGAGAACGAGACUGAGAAAUUCAGCCAAAAUAUCGUAAACUCAUUGUCGAAGACUGCCGAUUUCGCGAGGGUCGGCGAGGAGAACCGGAGGUUUGUGGCGAAUUUCGACGGCUUCGUCUCCGCCAUUGUGGGGAUUCUGAACAGAGAAGGCGUCGAAAUCGAAGUUCUCGAAUCGGUAAUUAAGGUUUUGGAUUCGAUUUUGCCUCAAAGCGGAGUCAACGAGCAAUUGAGCCGAUUUAUUGCGAAGAGCAACGGCAAUUACCUCGCUUCAAUUCGAUUGGUACUGCAGAAAGGAAGCCUGAGCUCGAAGAUCGAAUCCGUCAAGGUUUUGGAUUCGAUCGCGCUCGACGCCGAGUCGAAACGAUUAAUCGCGGAGAAGGAAGGCUUAUUGUCCGUAUUCAACGAUCUGUUGAGCUUGGAAACGUGUCAGGACCUAUACGGCGCCGUUUUCUCAUGCUUAGCAUCAUUGUCCGUGAAUCGGUCGAUUAAAGCCGAGCUCGUCCGGUUCGGACUAGUCCGAGUUGUAACGUCAACGCUGCUAAAGCCGGACACUAGCACUACCCUUGCGGAGAAGUGUUUGAAGCUGUUAUCCACCAUUGCCACGUGCGCCGAGGGCCGGUCGGCGAUCAGCGGGGAGGAGAAGUGCGCGGAGGCGGUGGCGGAGAGGCUGAUGAAGGUGUCGAGGGGGGCGACGGAGGACGGCGUGGCGGUGCUGUGGAGCGUGUGCUGCAUGUUGGGGGACAAGAGGGCGAGGGAGAGCGUGGCGGGAGGAAAUGUGGUGGCGAAGGUGUUGUUGGUGAUGCAGAGUGGGUAUGGAGAGGGGCAUUUUGUGAGGAGGAUGUGUGGGGAUUUGGUCAAAGUUUUGAGUGUUGGGUUAGGGUUGGGGUUGAGGUAUGACACCAAGACUAUACAUAUCAUGCCUUGUUAGAAAUUGUUCAUGAUGAUAAUCUUGCUCAUUUAUUUUUUUUUUGGAAAUUGUGAAUUUGGAUAAAAAAUUUUAUAGAAACAAAAAGGAAAAUUCUUUUUAGUUUUGUAGUCAUUGAUCAUCAUUAUGUGAUUGAUGUUGUAUGAUUAGUAGAGAUAUUUUUGUGUGCUGUGAACAUGACCCGGUAUAUUAAGAAUAGUAUUACAAUUCGUUGGAAACUUUAAAAAAAAAAUUCCAAGAAAUUGUAUGUGCUGUGUUUCCGGAAAAAUUUCUUGGGUUUGUGGGGAUGUGAAUAUGCAAAAUUAUGUUGAUAAGAUGGCUUAAGUGAUUAAAAGAAUGAAGAAAUAAACAACUUUUUGUUAAUCUCAUGUUAAUCUUCUUUUUUGAUUUGUUGUUUCUUUUAUUGUUAAUUCAGAAAAGUUUCAUGAUGAAUUUGUUUGGACUUUGAAAAAGGAUUAGGGACAAGAAUCCAAUCCAUCGUAAAAGGGGCAAGUUUUGAUAUGAUUUGCAAGUUAUAACUUGUUAAGUAAGAGAACGUAAGGAGAUCUAUUGUAUACUUGGGUAAAUUUAAUUGGUCUUAAGUUCAAAUUUAUUUCUAAGUAAUUUUGGAGUAAUUGUGAUCAAAUAGUUGUAUGCUUUUUUUUAGAGUGGACUUACAAGUCACAGUUGUAUUGCCUCAACUACGUUUUAUACCAAUAAUACAAUACCAUGCAGAGAAAUUUACACAUAAUGUUGUAUAUUUGGCAUGAGACUAUCUUAGUGAAAAUGUAUCCAUGCCAUAGAAGUCGUCCUCUCUUUUGUGGGUGAGGUAGUUCUGGGCAAUGAACCUGUAUGAAAAAAUAUGAGUUGUUGAGCUAUGCACGAGUGUCAAACGUAACAUGGCUUAUUUUCGUAUCCCUGGUAAACAAACUACAAAAUCGUUGCUCUUAGAACAGUAUGUGUUUAAUUUCAAAAACGAGACAAAAAUGAUUGUAAAGAAAAAACACUAAAUAAGGAGACAAAUUCAGGCUAGUUUGCGUUCGAAUUUUACAGGGUAAGGCAACAACUUGGCUGUAGUAGGCAUCUGGUUUGCAAAAAUCCAGCAGAAAACAAUUGUAUGGACAACAAAUUGCGAUGCUCCGAUGCGACUCUCUAACAAUGUAAAGCUGUUUUGAAGUGGUGAAGGAACAAGGGUCAUGGCGCCAGAUAACCGAGUUGUAUCAGCAACCAUUUUUAUGAGCCUGCUGCCUCGGCUUCCAUGCUCGAUUCUGGUAACUUUGUCAUCUACAACUCGGACUCAAAUAUCAUUUGGCAGAGUUUUGAUACUCCAACCGAUACCAUUGUAUCUGGCCAGCGAUUGCUGGCUAGAAAGAAGCUUGUCUCCAGCAUCUCCGACACAAAUCAUGCAAGCGGAAGAUUUAGACCUUCAAUGUAGCGUGAUGGGAACCUAGAGAUGUACCUGGAGUGUCCAAUUAUAUUACAACCUGAUUGAUCGGUAUGCUUACUCAAAUAGUGGGACGUACAGGGCUGGAGACAAUGAGUCACUCAACGUUGAUCACAAUGGACAGUUAUAUCUCCUCAGUUACAAUAUAAGGAACGCUACGAAUCAGAAAGAGCUGUUUGACACACACACGUAUGUACCACAUGAUGAUUGACUUUGAUUGUAUUACUCCAGUUAUACUUCCAUACUAUUUAUAUUUAAUUUUAAAUUUUAAAUGAUUUUUAACCGCACGAUAUACAUGAACGGACAUAAUUAUGGGAUCCUCCAAAUUCCUGAGAAAAGGACGUCGAACAAGAAUCUUUGGUUGCUCCAUUGUCUCAUUUGACGGACUGAAAUAACGGAGCUAACAAACUGUAAGUACAAAGGACGAAAGUGAAAAGAAAAAGGCUAAAGGGAGGUAAGUGAUAAUUCGAUUUAAACUAACGGGACCAUGAGUGCAAUCUGACUCGCUCCUUAACUUGGAAAAGCCAACCAGGGCGUUCCAAGUGUGAUGAUGAACACGUGCCGAAACACCAUUGGAUUCUGGAGGGGAACCAGUGAGGCCUCCCGCAGCAAAGCCACACAAAAUGAUACACAAGCGAUCUGAGUCGUCGGCGAGGAUCCUUUUCCGUGAAAAAUCGAUCGAAGAAGCAAAGGCAGGUCACUGAAUAAAGAAAUAAAAACACAGAAGCUGAAGCUGUUGCGGGAAAAAGCUUGACCAAAUCAGGGUUCCCGAAUUCGAAUCGCCAACGAGGUUAACCAGAUUAGGGUUUUAACAAAAUUUUUAAGUUACUUUUACCAUGUUGUAAUUGCUUAAUUUUUUUUGCUGAAAUUCAGAAAUUUGCAGGAAAACUGAAAUGGGGGACGGCCUAUGGAACCGCCAGCAGCAGCAGCAGCAGCAGCAUCAACUGGGUCCCUCUGGCGGCGUGCAUAAACGACCUCGUUCCGACUACGGUAACUCCUCUGUGGCCAUUUCUCAUAGUUUUUUUCUUUAAUUAGAUGAAAUUGCGAUUGCAUUCGUUUGCAUUAUAGAUUUAGUUGUCAAACCAUUUAAUUUCUGACUUCUUGUUUAUAAUUCGAGCGAUAUUAUAAUCUAAUCGAAACUAUGGGGAGAGGGGGAUUCGAACUUGGGUGCAGAUGGGGAGCACACUGCUCGAGCCAACUUAGCUAGGCCAAAGUCUGCUUCUUCGUGUUAUAAGUGUUUUUACUUUAGUGGUUCUUGAUGGGUUUCGGGUUUCAAUGUAAAUUAUGUUUCAAAGUGGUGAAAUUUAUGUGAAGGGUCAAGGGUAUCUAGACAAAGGAUUCCAGUUCAGUUGUCUGAUGACUCUGCUUGUAUGUAUCUCCCCUUACUCUAGUAGAUAUGCAGAUUCUGGUUUUGUAGCUAGGUGUCUCUUUUCUUUUCUUUUAUAAAAAUUACAAUAAAUGUUUUGCUUCCAUAGUUCCAUGUGUACUCUUACAUCUUCGGGGUCUUCUUGAAGCAUAUAAUAUAGUCUUAGCCUAUCUGUUCCACUUACUACAAUUGCGAUCAACACUCAUACUCGUAUGAUUCCAUAUAAUAAUGUAUCUUCCACGAAAGCUUUACUAAGCAUAUGAUUUCUGUUAUUAUUUUCUUUGUAACCAGAUCACAGUUUUUGGCCUUCAUGUUUCCUUCGGUCCAUUGUUAAUGAUAUUAUUUACUGGAUUUCAUAUUUAGAGCAACUUUUGAAUGAUUUCCACAUUAGCGGUAGUUUUAGAAGUUACUGGUUGUUAUUAAGUUAUGUUCAAGGGGGGAAAACCUUGUUCGGUGUGUUUGCUAAGACCUGUGUGAAAAUGGAAACUACUACAAAAUCAUUCAGGUUUCCAAUUACAUUGCAAGGUACUUAAGAAUGGAUCUUUUCCUGAACCCAACCAAACCCCAAACCUCUGAAAUUAUCAAGUAGAUUCUUUCCUUUUAGUGCGGUCAGUCUUCCAAUCUAAUACUAUUCUUCAAUAAUUAUGGUAAUAAGAUCCUCCAUACAUAUUUAUAAUGCAAUUAUGUUUAUAUACAAAUUGAUGCAUAUUAUUGGUAUACAUUUUGAUAUAACCAAAUUCCCCUUUUUUUUCAUUUAGUUAUUUGUUUGCUGAGUUGUUCUUGUUAUAACUUCUUAGUCACUGAUCAAAAGCCUAGACUUGUAUAUUGUAUGUAGAUGUUUUGAUUGGUAUGUUUUCUUUGUACUUUUGAACAUUGGUGGCAGUUUUACUUGUUCAAAUACCACCUAGUUGUUAGUAGUGAUAUUGUUCAUUCCGCACCUUGGGUCUAACUCUGCACAUUAAAGAGUAGGUUUUUACCUUGUUAAUUGACGGGGCAUACUCUACUUCCACCUCAUGCUUCUCAAUUGGUUUCUUGAUUUAAGUUCUUCCAUCUGCUUUUUUAUUUUUUAUGCCUUUUCUCUUGUUCUAUAGUUGUAAUAUAUACAGCUGAAUUAGGGUCUAUUUGUUAAUGUUUUCUCAAUGUUGUGCCUUUAAAUAUAGGUAAAUUAUGCGCUUGGUGCAUUAAGUUUGUUAAACAUGGGAAACAUAUUCUGUAAAAUGAUCUCAACUUUUGUUCUUCAAGUUAGGAAACAACCAUUCCACUAUUUAUGUUGUUUUCAGGGGGAUUGUGAAACAUGGUGAGUAGUUAGAAACAAAAAAAGGAACCUUUCAACUGGAAUAAAUGUUUCUGUCAUCCUCAGAGGCUCUGUUGUUGGUCCUCACUUUUCACGUAUAUCUGCUCUCAAAAACCUAUACCAAAAAACCAAACACCCUAUCGCCUCUCUCUUCCUUUCUUUCUCCAUCUCUCUUUGCCUCCUCAUCUCUCCCACUUUCUCUCUACACCCUCAAAACCUGCACUCCAGCCCCACUCCGAACGCCUGACCCAUUCAUCGAAACCAAUAUGUGGAACCUCUUCUCAACCUCCCCCGCCCCCGCCCCCGCAAUGUUGUCGUCUCGUCUCUGAUUUGAAAACAUUUGGUUGUGGGUUGUUUUCAAUAUAAUAAGUUGGACGUGAAUAAUUGUUAGUGAUAAAUUUGGAUGGUAGAGUUUGGUAUUAUUUCAAUUUAAACUGGAGUGGUCAAGAAUUUGGUAGAACUUGUAAAAUGGAGAAACUGAAGAUGGUGAAUCAGACUUGGUUUCAGUUUAAACGGGGAUAGUUAUACCGUACUUGUAUGGGAUAUAGAGCGAUGUUGGAUGCAGCUUUAUUUUAUUGUAUCGGUUUUGUUUUGGUGUCGGAAUGGUUAUACUGUACUUGUAUCUGUUUCUUUAUCUCGUUUUGGUGUUGCUUUAUUUUUUUAUUGCUUUUAAAUCUGAAAUGGUUAUACUGCACGUGUAUUGGAUAUAGGUCUGAUGUUGGAUGUUUAUUGAUAUGAAUGUUCCAUUUAAUAGGGCUCUAACUCACAAUGGUUUUGGUUAGCUUUGAUGCGGGCAUGGGAUAAAUCAAUUUCACUAUUGUGCCGUUUAAAAGGGCUCUUAACUCACAAUGUUUUAAUAUAUUUGUUUGGUUCAUUGAUACGUCUUGUCAAAAUGUGUUUACAUUAGUUACGUGUUUGAACUUUGAUUAUAAUAUUUAGUUGAAAAUAGUUUUUCAAAAUAUUGCUGCCUAAUACAAAUUCAGUAAUUUAAUUUUUUUCUCAUACUAGCACUGAACACAUUUUCACUGUUUUUGUUUUUAGAAACAUUUUUUCAAACUAUUCUACCAGAUGCAUUAUCUAAUGUUAAAUUACAAGAAUGUUAUAUCAUUUUCAUUUUCUGAAAGGUUUUUAUGCAGAUGGUUUUGUAAAACAUCACCUGAUAGGCUCUUACUUUUCUGUAUUGUCAACCUGUCUUCAGGUCAAGAGAUGCAUGGUUAUUUUGCGCGAGAGGAUGAUCUUGGUGGUCCUAGGACUGUAAAGGAUAACAGAUCAAUCGGAUCAGCAUAUGACCGUUAUCUUCAGAAUGCGGUGACUUUCUUAAGCAUUUGAAACUAUGCCUAUUAUUAUUUGUGUUACAUCUCUCUGUUUCUGUACUAAAACAUUUGUCCUACUUGCUUCUAAAGGAAAUGGCUUCGUACACUUCUGGAGAAGCGAGUACUUUUGGUGGAGCUGGAAUGGGAAGGGCUGUUGGUGGUGGAAUGACAGGUCCUCCAAUGGCUGAUCAUUCUAUGAGGGGCCGUCCUGGAGCUAUGUCUUCUGAUGUACUAACAAAUGGUCGAAAUAUGAAUCUUGCUAAUCAGCUCCCAGUUGAUUCAAUGCCUAGGCCUGGACGUGAAACAGUUCCUUUACCUCUGGAUGCAUCCAGCACUUUAUAUGUUGAAGGACUUCCUCCUGACAGCACAAGGAGGGAAGUAGCUCGUAUCCUUUAUGAUGCUUAAGAAUUAUUGCAUAUUGCUUUCCAAUCUUAUUGUUUAACUCAAUAGUUUUUCCAUCGCUCCUCCUUUACAUAACUCUUAAGAUAUCUUUCGUCCUUUUGUGGGAUACAAAGCAGUGAGGCUUGUGAGCAAAGAGUCCAAACACGUAUGUGGGGGUGGAUUAUUGUAAACAAUUACUUUUCUUAGUCAUUCUGUUUUUCUUGAUCACUCUGACUUGAGAUUGUCGUUGUGCUACUUGGUUCGACUCUUGGGAAGUUUAUAAUCUUUCUUCACACUAAUAUUCCGGUUUGUCCAUAAUGCAGCGUGGCGGGGAUCCUCUUAUUCUUUGUUUUGUGGAUUUUGAAAAUCCAGCCUGUGCAGCAACUGCUCUGAGUGCCUUGCAAGGUGAUUGCUUUUUAUUGUCAUCAACCUUGGUGACUAUCAGUGUCAAAGAAAGCUUAAUUCUUUCUUUCUGUUUUUAUUUGUUUCCUUUAUAGCUUCACAAGUGUUAUUUUCUAUCAUACCUUAUUCAAUCAUGUAAAGGGUAAAUUUAUGUUAAAAUUCUUCCAUGCAUAGUAGGUGUAAAGAGGUUGAGGCAGUUCAUAAAAAUGUUAUAGAUGGCUUCUUGUGAUUUAAUAUUGGAGUUCAUAAUAUCUCUACACUACAUAUCGUGUAGAACUAGCUGGAUUGCUCAUUAUUUUCCCAUGUUUGUUGUUUUUGAAAAGCUGGAAGAUGCUGACAUUUGUGUUGCUGGAAGAUGCUGACAUUCAUGUAAUUCCAUGCAUAGUGUUUUAGUAUGUGUAAAGACGUUGAGGCAGUUGAAAAAAAAAAUGUUAUAGAUGGUUUCUUGUGAUUUAAGAUUGAAGUCCAUAAUAUCUCUACACUCCCGAUUGUGUAGAACUAGUAUUGCUCAUUAUAUUUUCCCGUGCUCGCGGUUUUUGAAACGCUGGAAGAUGCUUACAUUUGUGUUGCGUUUGCAGGUUAUGAAAUGGAUGAACAUGCUCCUGAUUCUAAUUACUUGCGGCUGCAGUUUUCUCGGUUCCCUGGUCCUAGGUCUGGACCUGGCCGUAACAAGAGGUGAUAGGCAUUAGGUGAUGAGAAAUAUCUGUUUUUGAUGUAAUCAAGAUUGCAUUUGCUUUUAAUACAUUCCAUAUAUAUAUAUAUAUAUAUAUAUAUAUAUGUAUUGCUCAGGCUUGGGCACACACCAACUGUAAGCACUUCUGAUGCACAUUGUUGUUUCGAGGUAGUGAAUCAGAAACAGUUUUAUAGUUGUGCAAUUAAACAGAGAUCUGAUUUUGCACGUCCAUGGUCUACAAAAUUUGUAAGUGUUUUUAGAAGUGGCAAGUUUCUCAGGCACAAACCCUUUAAAAACUAGUGUGUUUUUUUAGCAUGGAUUUGCAGGCUUCUGUUACAUAUAUCAUAUGGUAAGUGAUUUCCGCUCGCUUUUUCUCCUUGUACAACUCCUUUUUUCCUAGUUUAAGGGUUGGAUAAAUCAAAUCAAAGGAGAAUAAGUGGAAAGAAACAUAAGGUGAAUGCAGGAGGAGAAAAUGGGAACGUGCCGAUGACUACCGAUCAAACUCGUCUUUUCUUGUAACUUCCAACUGCAUGGAGAAAAGCAAGACACUGCGUGAUGAGAAUGGGCAUUGCAUGGUGUCAUGUCUUGUGGUGUUAGAAAUUUGAUCCGAGUCCUUCCCAUUUGGACUACAGUUAAGGACAGGCUCUACUAUGUCCUCCCAAUGCUAAGCACUAGGUAGUGGGCUGCCGACUAGUCUAUGUGCCACUGUACAUAUCACAUGGGCUUUCAACCCAUAAUCCUAUCCUGCUAGAGCUUCCCCCUACCCUUCUUGAAAUUAGUAUACCGUCAGGUAUGUUGCUGUCUCUCAUAUCACGUGACUAAUGAUUCGUUUGGAAUUACUUCUUUCAGAAACACUUAUACUACAAGUGUUUUUAUUGUAGACACGUUAAAUCUUUACAAACAAUCCAAGUGUUCAUUGAAAAAUAUUUGAAAGUGCUUCUUGAAAAAGCAUUUGGCAAGUGCUCCUCUAAAGAUAGUUUAUACGAGUCAAAAGAAUUUCUAAUAUUUUAUCUUUAUGCCAAUCGCAACAGAACACAUUUAGCUUUUCCAGAAUCAAUCCUAAACUAGUUCUAAGCAAAGAAAGGGCAAUAUAACAUAAGGACAACGAAGAAUCUCUCUAACAUUAAAGGUUAUGUUUGUUCGGUCACUAGACUCAAACAAAAGAGAAAAGUAGAAGUGGGCAAUAAAUUGGUUUUCGAUUACCAUCAAAUUGGCACAACAUUCGGCAUUGUUUCGCAAAAGACUGCUUUUUUUUCUUAGCAUUAGUUUUACACACACUCUAGUGUGUGGUAAAAACAAGCUAGGGUUUGGUUGGAGAACAAGUCUGAGCAGUUACAUGCCAUGUGGGCUGGAGGGUUUCGUUUGGUGCCAUUACUCUUUUUUCUUGUUCUAUCAUCCUUGUCGAACUGGAAGAGAAAAAGGAGGGGAAAAGGGAGUUUAGGGCAAAAAGGAUACUGAGUUUAUAAACCAGGAAAUGUCUAAGCAAUUUGUUUGUGCCAACGUGACUGUUAUCUAAAUAUAGCGUACUUGUGGUAUAAAAGAAAAAGGCAAAAAGGGUAACUGUAAAUAGUUGUUGUACUUAAGUGUAAAUUGUCCCACAACUUGUCCAGGGACCAGUGCAUAUAAGUUGUAGCUGCAAGUGCAAGGAGCAACCUCUGGAUUAGAUAGACGGAUGGACUUGGUUUGGUAUGAUUCCAAGUCGUCGUUGAUGUUUCUUCUUCUUUGUGGCCCAGCCACCCAGGACUAUAGUCCUUAUUUGGUAGGUAUUUAUUGCAAGGCUAACUAUAGGAUUGGAGAUAGACAAAGGGAGAUGGGACAUGGAGAAUGGUUUGCCAAGUUUGUUUAGAAUGGAUCGGGAUCAAUGCCCGUUGGAUCCCUAGUAAUUGAAUAUUAGUUAAAGAUUCAACGUCUAUGAAUCUCGGUCUAUGUUAUGAACUGUUUUUACAAUUUUCGUUCAUUGUGUAUCACGUAAUAUGCAUAAUGUUAGACAAUCCACUUGUUUUAUUUGAGACAACUGUAUUUGAUGCACUUCCUAAUUUCUGUUUUCUGACUUGCUUCAAUCUACAUUCUCUUGAUAUUUUUUUUUCCAUUUUACUCGGUUUUAUGAUAGUGAGAACAUUCAACAUGGCCUCUUCUUCCUCAAGUUGCUUCUUUGUGAUACGUAUAUCUGUUUUUGUACUAAAACAUGUAUCCUACUUGCUUUUAAAGGAAAUGCCUUCGUACACUUUUGGAGAAGCGAGUACUUUUGGUGGAGCUGGAAUGGGAAAGGCUGUUGGUGGUGAAAUGACAGGUCCUCCAAUGGCAUGAUCAUUCUAUGAGGGCCAGUCCUGGAGCUAUGUCUUCUGAUCUAUUAACAUAUGGUCGAAAUAUGAAUCUUAUUAAUCAGCUCCCAGUUGAUGCAAUGCCUAGGCGUGGACGUGAAACAGUUCCUUUACCUCUGGAUGCAUCCAGCACUUUAUAUGUUGAAGGACUUCCUCCUGACAGCACAAUGAGGGAAGUAGCUCGUAUCCUUUAUGAUCCUUCUAUGAUGCCUAAGAAUUAUUGCAUAUUGCUUUCCAAUCUUAUUGUUUUACUCAAUAAUUUUUCAAUCGCUCAUCCUUUACAUUACUCUUUAAGAUAUCUUUCGUCAUUUUGUGGGAUACAAAGCAGUGAGGCUUGUGAACGAAGAGUCAGGUUUGUCCAUAAUGCAGCGUGGCGGGGAUCCUCUUAUUCUUUGUUUUGUGGAUUUUGAAAAUCCAACCCAUGCAGCAACUGCUCUGAGUGCCUUGCAAGGUCAUUGCCUUUUUCUUUUCAUCAACCUUGGUGACUAUCAGUGUCAAAGAAAGCUUAAUUCUUCGUUCUGUUUUUAUUUGUCUCUUUAAAGGUUUGUAAAUUUUUUUUCUAUCGACCUUAUUCAACCAUGUAAAUGGAAAAUUUAUGUUAAAAUUCUUCCAUGCAUAGUAGGUACAAAGUGGUUGAGAUAGUUCACAAAAAUGUUAUGGAUGGCUUCUUGUGAUUUAAUAUUGGAGUCCAUAAUAUCUCUACACUCCAGAUCGCGUAGAACUAACUAGAUUGCUCAUUAUUUUCCCGAGCUUGUUGUUUUUGAAACGCUGGACGAUGCUGACAUUUGUGUUGCGUUCGCAGGUUAUGAAAUGGAUGAACAGGCUCCUGAUUCUAAUUACUUGCGGCUGCAGUUUUAUCAGUUCCCGGAUCCCAGGUCAAGACCUGGCCGUAACAAGGGGUGAUAGGCAUUAGGUGAUGAGAAACAUCCGUGUUGAUGUAAUCAAGAUUGCAUUUGCUCUUAUACAUUAUAUAUAUUGCUCAGGCUUGGGCACACACUAAUUGUAAGCACUUCUGAUGCACAUUGUUGUUCUAGGUAGUGAAAUCAGAAACAGUUUUAUAGUUGUGUUGAACGAUCUGAUUUUGCACGUCCAUGGUCUACAAUUUACUCAAGGAAUGUUUUAAUUCUGAAUUGAGAUUGUACUGUGCAUAGACUACCGCAAAAUUAGUACAGAGAUAGUUUCCCUAUAGAUUGUUUUCAUAUACUAGAGGACUUCCAUGGCCAGGGUAUCUUGCCACCAUAUUGUCCCCGUACAUUUUCCCUCCAUAUUAGUUAUAUAUUUAUCUGGACAUUCUAACCUAAUGAAGUCCUACAAUCAUCAUAACUCAUUUUACUUAGCUCAUGCUCCUUACAAUAUUUGAUGAACUCACAUAAGAAACUCAUAGAAAUUUGUUCCCAGUCAUUACCUUUGGACUGCAGUUGAAGCUUAUGAUACAUCCUCCCAAUGCUAAGCACUAGCUAGUGGGUUGUCGACUAAUCUAUGCCACCGUACACAUCGCAGGGGCUUUGAACUCUGUCUCAAUUAUUGUAAAGACGUUAGCCUCUUCAAUGAAAGAACCCAUAGUCCUAUGCUGCUAGAGCUCCCCCCACCCUUCUUGGAAUUAAUAUAGUGUUAGGACAUAUCGCUCUAUUUCUCACAUCACGUGACUAAUGAUUUCUUUGAAGUUACUUCUUUAGGAAACACUUAUACUACAAGUGCUUUUAUUAUAUAGAAUCUUUAUAAGCAAUCCAAGUGUUCAUUGAAAACGUAUUUGAAAGUGCUUCUUGAAAAAGCAUUUGGCAAGUGCUUCUUGAAAAAGCAUUUGGCAAGUGCUUCUAUAAAAGAGCUUAUUGGGUCAAAAGAAUUUCUAAGUUUUUUUUUCUGCCAAGCACAACAGAAUACACAUUUUAGCUUUUUCCAGAACCAAUCCCAGACAAGUUCUAAGCAAAGAAAGGGCGAUACAGCCUGAAGACAACGGAGAAUUUCCCUGACGUUAAAGGUUUUGUUUGUUCGGUCACUAAACCCAAAAAAAUAGAAAACUUGAAGUGGGCAAUGAAUUGGUUUUCGAUUUCCAUUAAAUUGGCACAACAUUCGGCAUUGUUAUGCAAAAAUAUACUUUUUUCUUAUCAUUAGUUUUACACACACUCUAGUCUGUGGUAUAAAAUGAGCUAGGGUUUGGUUGGAGAACAAGUCUACGUGGUAUCAUCACUUACAUUACAUGCCAUGUGGGCUGGAGGGUUUCAUUUGGUGCCAUUACUCCUUUUUCUGUUCUAUAAUCAUUUUGGAACUGGAAGAGAAAGUGGAGGGGAAAAGGUAGUUUAGGGCAAAAAUUUUCCAAUCAAUUUUUUGGCAGUGUGACUGUUUUCGAAAUAUAGAGUAGUUGUGGCAAAAAAGAAAAAGGAAAGGGGUAAUUGUACAUACACAUUGUUCCAAAGGGUCAGUUGUCCCACAACUUGUCAAGGGACCAGAGCAUUAAGUUGUAGCUGCAAGUGCAAGGAGAAAGUUGUGGAUUAGAUAGACCAAUGGAUUUGGUUUGGUUUAAUUCCAAGUCAUCGUCGUUUCUUCUUCUAUGUGGCCCAGCCGCCCAGGACUUUAGUCCUUAUUUGGCAGGUACUUAUUACAAGGUUAGAUAAAGGGAGAUGAUACAUGGAGAACGGUUUGCCAAGUUUGUUAGAGUGGAUCCGGAUCCAUGAGUGUUGGAUCUCUAGUAAUUGAAUCUUUAGUUAAAGAUUCAAUGUCUCAACGAUCUAUGCUAUACAUUUGUCUUUACGAAUUUUCAUUCAUUGUGUAUUACAUAAUAUUCUUGACCCUCUUAUAUGUGACUUCGGCCGACUUCUAUCACCCGAUAUCGUUGUGUAAUAACUUGAUGAGAUAGCCAAUGCUUAGGUCAUCUUCAAUGGAGAUGGCUAAAGGUCAAAAAGCUAAAAAAUAGUAUGAUUUGUUCAAAAACUCAUCUCCAACCAAUGUCAGAGCUAUAAUUAUAUGGAGCCCACCAUGCCAUUAUUUGGCUAGUGCCCCUUUCUUAGCCCCUUUUUGGGGCCUAGCUCCUCGAUUAUGCCAUCUGCAAUGAAGAGGGCUAAAUGUCUAAAAGCCAAAAAAUGACAUGAUUUACCCAAAAACUCAUCUCCAACCAAUAGCUAGGUUAUAAUUCUAUGGAUUCAACAGUUAGAUUUGGAAACAUCCAAUGUUAGUUUAAUUAAAUUAAAGUAUAAACUUAAAACUAAUAAAUUAUUAGGGAGCCUAUGUUUUAGCCCUUUCGGUUGGAGAUGGUAUAUGAGUAUGGCCGACACUAUUCAUUUAAAAAUAAUUUUUUUGUUGGGUUAUAAUUUUGGAUGAGGCUAUGUCUAGCCCUUUUGGUUGGAGAUGACCUUACAAUGAUUAAUUCAAAUUCAAUGGUUAAAUUUGAAAAUAUCCAACAAAACAUCCAACAGUAGUUUAAUUAAAUUAAUCAAUAAUUUUAAGUAUAAACUCAGAACUAAUAAAUUAUUGAGGGAGUUAUGUUUAGCCUUUUCGGUUGGAAAUGAUAUAUGAGUAUGGCCUAAUACUGUUUAUUAAAAAAAAAAUCUUUAGUUAUCUCUGCUAAUCAAUAAAACACUCAUUGUCAACCAAAAUCCUAUGAAAUUACCAGUUUAACCUUCUAAUUAAAACAAAACAUGAAUAAGAAAUAUGGGGCGGAAAUUUAAUUUUACACAAACAAAAUUUGUUGUUUUUUUUUUUCAAAACUUCAUCUAUAUAUAAUUCUAACAUAUCUCUAAUUAUAAAAUAAAUAAAAAAUAAAAAUAAAAACUUCCUACUCCCACAUUCUCUAUCACUCCCUUCCUCUCUUCUUUUAUUUUAAAACAAAAAAAAAAAUUUCACAUACUUUAUAUAUGCCCAUAUGCUAGUAAUUAUAAACGAAACUAUAUUUAACUAUUUCGUUGAAAAUGACCGUACGAGUAUGUAAAUUUUGAAAUGUGAGUUGUCGUUCACUACGCAAGCAAAGAUCGAAAGCCUUCAUGUACCGAGGGGUCCCACUCCUUGAAUCAGAAUAAAAGUGCUUUGAAAAAGUCCCUUUAAUUAUGUCCAAGUUUGGAUAAAAUUUGUCCAUGCAUGGCAUGCACUCACUGACUGAUCUCGUCGUCCUGAAGGGUAAGAGAGGUAAAUUCCAGAAUAACCCACGAGGCACUGUAUGAAGCCUGUCAAUUACAUCAACUCAUCAAGCUUUCAAUCUUUUCAUGGCAUGCCUAACUUCUGUGAAAUAUGCUCAACAUUUAACAUUUUGUAAACCAAAAAGAGAGUAAGAGAGAGAUGAUUGAAGUAAUAAAGUAAAAGCGAAAUGCAUGCAUUGAUAAAAGGAAAUUUUAACAAAAAAAAUUUCGGUACUGUUUACUUUAACAAAAAAUUAUAUUUUUACAUUAAAAAGUCAAUUCUAAUACUAUUCAUUUUACCCUUUAUUUGUUCUUUAUUGUUAAAAAUCAAAUUUUUCAAUCCAUUUUUAUUAGUUUUCCUUUGAUAAAAGGAGAAAGAUGCAUGGAGAACUGGUUUUUUAUUUUAUUAUUAUUUUUUUUACAAACAAUAAUAUUAGAGUGGAUUAAGUUAUUAGCUGUUAGCGAGAAGAGGAUCAAUAAUAAUCAAACUAGCACCCGGAUGUAUAAGCAUAAUUGUUUUCUAAAAUUGCAAUAAAACGUCACUUUCCAUAUAUAUAUAUAUAAAAAAAAAAAACUUAUUGUUCCUUGUAUGAUGGAUUGCAAUCUCAAUAUCGUUCUUAAUGGAACGGCCACAAUUAGUUGUUCAGGACAUAAACAAUAUGUAUUGUCUUUAUAUUUAGGAAAUUGGCUCUGUUAGCCUUAUUACAAACCCAACAAUUAAAAAUACUCCCAAAUUAUAAUCUCUAUUAGCCCUCUUUUCCUUAAAUACCACUAACUUGAAAGAUGAACUGUUAUUCUAUGUCUCGACGUUGGAUCUCGAUGGCAUCCAAAAGGGCCUCUCAACUCCCUUCCGACUGUAUCUCGACUGAAUCACGACGGCAUCUCAACGGCACAGAACUGAAUUACCCUUAUAUUUAUGAGUUGAUCAGACACUCCAAUUAAAUAAAAAUAACUAUAAUUAUGUCAAAAUUAUUUAGUCAGUCUCACGUAUAUAUAAUUAAUUCAUCAAACACAUAAACAAAAAAGUUCUUGUAUGUAUGCUAUACUUUGAUUUGUCUCAACAAGAAAUGACUCAGUCAUCUUUUUAUCUAUGUCCAUUGAGUUUAUGGAGGGCAACAUAUUGAGAUCUCAAAAAUCUUAUUCUCAUACAACACACUUUUUUUUUUGAACAAACGAUAUUAUCUACACUAAGGGAAAAUGGGUGGCCUAAACCUCACAAUGGGCUAGCAAUAAUGUGGUUCAAAUUCACAUUUGGCGAGAAUCAAACCUAAGACCUCUCACUGACAAGUGAAGAAGAAUAUCACUAGACCGUAGUCCUAAAAAAAAUAUAGAUCUUAUAGUCUUGCAGUGUUUUAGAUUAGCUAAAACGUUGGUAUCCAUAUUAACUUACCAAAAAAAAUAUGUUGAAUUUGCUACACCUGGAAUUUGUAGCAGAUUUGUCAUUUUAUAAAGGGGUUUUUAACUCAUUUAAAAAAAAAGAAGGGGUUUUUAACUUUAAUUCUUAAAAAAAAUUGAAAUUUAAUAAAAAUCGGAUGUUAGAUUACAUAUUAAUUAUUGUCCUUUAAUGUGUUAUUAACUCAAAUUAAUUAAUGUGUAUUUUAUUCAAUAUCUCACAUUAAAUAUUUGAAUUUAUGAAAAUGAAAAUUAUAAUAAAAUAUAAUUAAUAUAUCAAAAUUAGAAAGAAAAAGAGAAAUAAUUAAAACAUCAAAAUAUAAUUAAUAAAUGAAGUAAUUAACAUAUCAAGAGACUAAAAUUAGAUUUUAAUUUUACUCAUGUUUUUAAUUUAAAGUUAUUUUUAUCAAAAAUUAAAAUGAAGUUUCCUAUUUUGUAAAUUACAACGAUGAAAAAUGACGCGUUGCACGUAAGAAACAACAUCUAUAUUUUCUCUUUUGUUUAAUAUGCCAUCAAACAUAUCCAUCACAUUUUAAAUUUUGUGGAAGUCCCUCUCUCACAUUGAUAAAGUCUGGUUUGUGUUGGACAGCUGUCCAACAGACAACCCAAAAAUCUUCCAAAAACCAACAAACAUUUCUGACCAGUCAUGCAUACGUAUGCAUGGACCCAAUGGCAUAUAAUCAAAAAUUUUAAAUAAUGGGAUCGUAAUGUCAACUUAAAAAAAAGUUUCAUUAAGCUAUUUCAUCGAACAUUUAGUAAGCAAUUGUCAAUUCUUGUCAACAAUGCCAAAAGUUUAUGUUAAAAUAUAUCAACUACGAUAAUUUGUAGAGGCUUGUCGAGAGUGAUGUAGGAUACUACGAAGUAAUAUUGAGAACUCUUAAAGCUUUUCAACUAAAGUAUUUUAUAUAAAAAGAGAGAAAAGAAAAACAAAUAUGAUAGAAGAAAAUAGAAGAAGUAAGAAGAUGAGGUUGUAAGUUAGUUUGCUUUAGCUAUUUAUAAUGGUCAAAUAAAAUAUACAAACAAAUAUACAUGAGAUUUUUAAAGUUGUUGAGAUCAAGGAUAAUCAAUGAUCCCAUUCUAGUUUUGCCAUUGCAUGGGCCGGAUAGGGAUAUGGCUAAAAUAUAAUUCUAUUAAUUGCGUUUUGGGACUUUGUCUAACAACUUGGCUCUCUCUUGACUUGGAUGCCAUGGAUGGCUCAUGCAGUUUACUAAAACUAGUAAUGUACAAUUUUCAGAGACUAUUAAUUAUCAUCUAUCAGGAAAAUUUGAUUUCCAUGCUUGCCCUUUCACGUCGGUGACUUGGAGAUAAUAUUGUUUCUUGUCCGGAGAUGAAAUAAAAUAAAAAGACUUGCACGAUCAUACUGCAUUAUAUAUAUUACACUAUAUAGUCUAUGUUGGGAGUUAUAUAUUAGUUAAAGUAUAAAUAGUAGUCUGUUAUCCUAUAUUGAUGAAGUGCAUAUGUAAUACAAAUUGUAAUUCCUAUAUAUACUCCAUUUUGGAGAUUAAUGAAUAUAUGAGAAAUUCUCAAAUAUUAUCAUAUAUAUUUUUGGUAUUUACCAUGUUUAGUUUAAUAUAGCAUCAAAGCAGUUCGCUCUUGGUGACCUGUGUGCUUUAAUUUUGUGCCCCACAUUUGUCAUGAUUUCCUUCGUCUUGAAAAAAAAAAAGGAAAGUAAAUAGUGUUGCACUACAGUACAAACAGUGCGUAAACAGUGGUAUGCUACAGUGUUCAUGAACAAUAUUUUGCUACAGUGCCAUUAACAGUGAUCUACUACAUCACUUGAACAGUGAUGUGCUACAGUAUUAUGGUAAAUUGUUUUCAUUCCGCUGCCUAUCUUUUGUGCCUUUAUUGUUUGUGAUUUAAUUCAAUGGCUCAGUAUAAUCAUAAUGUUGUUAUGCAUCUUGGUGGAACAAAUAAAUGGAUAAUUGAUACUGGGACCACUAAUCAUGUGACUAGUGACCCUAGAAUGUUUGAUGAGUUAUGUGACUAUAUUCUUGAUCCGUAUAUUACUAGUGCAAAUGGAGCACAUUCCCCCGUGAAUGUUGAAGGCAUUAUCUCUCUUACUUCGACCUUAUCACUGGUCCAUACUUUACUUGUUCCUGAUGUUAAGUGCAAUCUUUUGUCGGUAGAAAAACUACUUGAUACUUUAUAUUGUUUUGCUCACUUCUACCCUACGUAUUGUUAUUUUCAAGACAUUCAAACUCAGAAAGUAAUUGGUCAUGGUAAAAGAAUAGAGGGUUGUACAUCUUGACUAUGGAGGAUACUGUUGUUUCCGGUUCAAAUAAUCAUCAAGUUUUAAGUGCUAAAGUGGAUGACAUACAUCAAAUUUGGUUGUGGCAUUGGCGAUUAGGACGUCUAUCAUUCAGUUAUAUGAAGCAUCUAUUUCCUGCUUUGUUUCGCAUUUGUAGUGAUUCAUAAUUCAAGUGUGAAGCAUGUGUCAUGGCUAAGAGUCAUCGUGCUUCCUUUCCCAUAAGUGAUUCUAAAGCUACUUUGCCAUUUGAUUUAAUACAUUCUGAUGUGUGAGGUCCGGCAAAUGUUACUUCUAAUGAAUUUCGUUGGUUUGUUACUUUUAUUGAUGAUUGUACUCGAUUAACUUAGGUGUUAUUGAUGAAGAAUAAGAGUGAUGUUCAUUUGCUUCUUCAAGAAUUUUGUGCAAUGGUGUAUACUCAGUUUCAGACCAAAGUUAAGGUUUUCAGGUUUGAUAAUAGAGGAGAAUAUGUGAAUCACACUUUGACAUGCUUUUUUCGUGAUCAGGGUAUUAUUCACCAGACGACUACUUUGUUUACACCCCAACAAAAUGGUGUGUCAGAACAGAAGAAUCGUCAAAUAAUGGAGGUUGCUCACUCAUUGAUGUUGGAUAAAUGUGUUCCUAAUCAUUUAUGGGGUCAUGUUGUUUUGGCUGUUGUAUAUUUGAUAAAUCGUGUUCUAAGUAGGGUUCUUGAUUUUCAGACACCACUUGAUGUGUUACAAAAGCAUGUUUAUCUUGUUUCUGUAUCAAAACUUCCUCCGAAGGUGUUUGGGUGUAUUGCGUAUGUGUAUGUCUACUCUUAUCAGCGGAGUAAACUUGAUGCAUGUGUUCUUCGAUGUGUAUUUAGUAGGUAUGCUAACAAUCAGAAAGGCUAUAAGUGUUAUCAUCCUCCGACUCAUAAAACUUAUAUUACCAUGGAUGUCACUUUCCACGAGGAAGUUUCGUAUUUUGUGAAGCCAUCUUCCGACUCUCCACUUCAGGGGAAAAAAGGGAGUGAAGUGCAUAUUUGAAGAGAUGGUAUGGAUGAUGUGUUACAGGCAGAGUUGGGGAUAGAACCUAUUAUGUUGCGUGAUACUGAUCAGUCGGUUAUAGAUAGUGAUCUGUCACCUAUUAUUCCUAAAACUAUUUUUACUGACGACAGAUUAGAUGUGCCCAACGAGUUGCUUGUCAGUAUGUCUGACGAAUUACUUUCUGAUGACCGAUUGCUUGCUUCUGGUAUGUCUAACGAGCUGCCUGAUGAUGGUUAGUUCAGUGAUGGUUCAUCCAGUGAUGAUUCUUUUAACAAUUUGGUACAAGAUAAUGACAUACAUGAGUUAAAUUCUGACGAUUCUUCUAUUUAUUAGUUGCCUCCACGAGCUAAUCGUGGAAAACCUAAGGUACAAUAUGAGCCUGAUAUGCAUGCCAAAUCCAAAUAUCCUAUCAACAAUUAUGUGUUUACUCAUCGUUUGUCCAAACCAUUUUCAUCUUACAUAUGUCAGCUAUCUAGUGUAUCAAUUCCAACAAAAUUGCACGAUGCCUUGUCUGACCCUAAGUGGGUUAAUGCCAUGAGAGUUGAGAUGGAAGCCUUGGAAAAGAAUUCUACUUGGGAUUUGGUUCAUUUACCAAAUGGGAAGAAAGCUGUUGGAUGUAGAUAGGUGUUCACUAUUAAGCACAAAGCAGAUGGUUCUAUUGACCGGUAUAAAGCCAUAUUAGUUGCUAAGGAUUAUACUCAAACCUAUAGGGUGGACUAUCAGGAGAUUUUUGUUCUUGUUGCCAAACUUAAUACUGUGUGUGUUCUUCUGUCCUUAGUAGCAAACCAGGAUUGGCCUCUGUUGCAGUUUGAUGUUAAGAAUGAUUUCCUUCAUGGUGAUCUCAAGGAGGAAAUUUAUAUGGAUCUCCCACUUAGUAUUAGAACAUCUCCUGAAAAAUGUGUUGUAUGCAAGUUGCAAAAAGCUUUGUAUAGUUUGAAACAAUCUCUUAGAGUGUGGUUUUGGAGGUUUACAAGUUCAAUGAAGAAGUUUGGGUAUGUCCAGAGUCAUUCAAAUCAUACUUUGUUUCUAAAUUGUUUCUAAAGCCACAAAAUGGUAAGCUAACUGCAUUGAUUAUUUAUGUUGAUGACAUGUUAGUGACUAGUGAUGAUCAAAAGGAGAUACAACGCCUUAAAAAAGUACCUAGCUAGUGAAUUUGAGAUGAAAGAAUUGGGUGAAUUGAAGUAUUUUCUUGGAAUCGAGGUUGCACAAUCCAAGCAUGGUAUUUUUCUGUCUCAACAGAAGUAUGUUCUUGAUUUGUUAGUUGAAACAAAUCUGUUAGAUUGCAAACUUAUUGAUACUCUGAUUGAGCAAAAUCAUCAUCUGGGCUUAUUUCCGAAUCAAGUUCCUACUCAUAAGGAACGGUAUCAGAGGCUUGUGGGGAAAUUAAUUUAUUUGUCUCACACUUGCCCUGACAUUGCUUAUGCAGUUAGUGUAGUAAGUCAGUUUAUGCACUCACCUAGUGAAGCUCAUAUGGAUGAAAUAGUCCGUAUUUUGAGGUGCUUGAAGAUGGCUCCUGGCAGAGGCUUGGUUUUCUCCAAGAAUGGUCAUUUGAAUGUCGAAGGGUAUACAGAUGCAGAUUGGACAAGUUCUAUCACUGAUUGGCGGGUGGUAAUCUAGUUACUUGGAGAAGUAGAAACAAAAAAUGGUGGCUAGGUCAAGUGCUGAAGCUGAGUUUCGUGGUAUGUCUCAUGGUGUAUGUGAGUUGUUGUGGUUAAAAAAAUUGUUGAGAGAUCUUGGAUUUAAACCCAAUGGUGCUAUGAAACUCCAUUGUGAUAACAAGGCUGCUAUUGAGAUUGCUCAUAAUCCAGUGCAACAUAAUCAAACAAAACAUGUGGAGAUUGAUCAACAUUUCAUCAAGGAAAAUUUGGAUGCUGGAAUUAUUAUGUUUCCGUUUGUGAGAUCUGAAGAUCAACUCGCUGAUGUACUUACUAAGACUGUGUCUAAUAGUGUGUUUUCCAACUCGCUUGACAAGUUGGGCAUGCAUGACAUCUUUGCUCCAACUUGAGGGGGAAUUUUACGAGUUAUAUAUAGUUAAAGUGUAAAUAGUAGUCUGUUGUCCUACAUUGAUGAAGUACAUAUGUAAUACUAAUUGUAACUCCUAUAUAUACUCCACUUUGGAGAUUAAUAAAUAUAUAAGAAAUUCCCAAAUAUUGUCAUAUAAAUUUUUGGUAUUUAUCAUGUUUAGUUUAAUAGUCUAAACAUCAGGAAAUACACCAACCCUAAACCUAAUGGAUUUUAUGAAGCCGCUGGUUUGGGUACACAUUAAUCUAACCUAAUUGCUCUACCACAUUCUAAACACAAAAUUUGUUAUAAAUAGGAUGAUUAAAUUUAUUUUCUCAAGCGGUAGAGUAGUGAACCUCACAGCGACGACAAUCUUCCACCCCCAAAUUCGGGUUUUUUUGUACUAAAAUGGUCUUUUAUGUAUAAGAACUUUACGAUAAGUUUAUUAAAAUUGGCUCUGUAUCUACGAAAUCUCAACAUCCAUACGUUACAAAAUGGAUUAGAACUCCUAGGAAAUAAAAUAGAACAUAUGAUGAUCCCUUUAAAGGGCCUUAUAAUGGGGAAGACUUCUCACAGAAUAUAAGAAGACGAAGAGGAAAACUAAAAACUUAGAACUUCAAGGAGAUGGACUGGAGCAGGGAGAAUGGCAAAGAACCGGAACCCAGAAGACCCGCAACGAAAAAGAAAACACUGUACUUUUUUUAGACAUUUUUUCACAUUUCUUCUCGGCCUUACAGCCAAGUAGCAUUUUCCGACCCCAAAUAAAGAUAGAAGGAAAAAACCAAAUUAAGGUAAAUAAAUUUUCUAUAGCAACUUGGCAAACAAAAACAUACUAGAAGAAAACAAGGAAAAUACAAAGAAAUUAAGGAAGUAUGGGAAACAAAAUAAAUUUAAUACGGGACCAACGACAACGGUGCAAAUGUAUAUUGUUCAGGAAAUAAACUUUUAGCGAAAAUGUGCUGCAAAAUUGACCAAUUUUGCUUCAUAUUCACACUCAAUUUUUUUAAGAAUUAAUAUCUGUAGAGUUUAGACCAAAAAUAAAAUAAAAAACAAAACCAAAAUGCUACUCCACUUUCUUGGUACUUAACUCAGCUCUCCACCUCCUUCCAAUCUUACAAGCUUCUAGAUUUAGAUUUGUCUCAAAUCACAUGCCAACUAACCUGCCCAGCUCAAUUUUAUUUUUUCUUUGGAAAUUCCAGUGCGUCUCUACUUUUGUUUUUCUAAAUCUUACUUACUCCCAUUAUAAUUGGAAUUUUAUAUAUUUAUAUGGAUGCUUUGUCAAGAUAUGAGAGAAAUAGUAGUGAUUCAAAAAGAUGAUUAGGAGCCAAAAAUAUUUAUUAUUUUAGAUUGGUGUUUAUGUUUUUGAACAGUUAAAAACUUUUUUGGUCAUUGUGUUUAUGUUUAAAAUUUAUUUUGGUCACUGUAUUUUAUUUUCUGCUAAUUUAGUUACUGUGUUAUCACAAGUUAGCAAUCUUAGUCCUUCUCAAUCAAACGUUAAAAAAAACGCACAUGACAUGCAAGUGCAGGGGUAACUAUGUAAGUGAAAAUAUAUCUUUGCCCCUGCACGAAACUGUCACGUGCAUUUUUUUGGCGGUUGACUUAUGGUAACGCAGUGACCAAUUUGGCAGAAAAUAAAACACAAUGACCAAAAUAAAUUUUAGAAAUACACACAGCGACCAAAAACGUUUUAAUUUAACCCAUUUUUAACAGUCCAGCCAGCUACCAUGAAAGCUACAACAUGAAAGCUGACUGUCAAAAUUUUGUUUAAAAAUUCAUACACAAUAAUCGUCAUAAGAACGUGCAAUAGGUACUUUGAAUUCUUAAAUAUACUGCAUGGUUACCCUUUCCUUUUGUUUUAUACAGAGAAAUCUUGACAGGCAGUCAAAAGCAAAAUUAUGUUCUUCUAGUGAUAUCUGUGUGCUAAAAAGGAAGUACGUAGCUACGUUCAGUCUUCACCUAACACUCCUAUUUGCACCUAAAAGAUGUGGAUAACAAAGAUUUUGACCAAAAUCACAUUGACAAGUACUUGCCAAAGGAUCACGGAACCUAUGAUUGUAAAAGAUAUACGUGUUGGGCCUGACCGACGUUAAUUAGUUGUUCAUAUUGAUUUGAGAAAUUUGAUUGAAUGAGGAUUAACAAAUCACAAUUGCUAAAAUAUUAAAAUGUAUUAACUGCGACAUAUUGGUUAAAUAAUUAUUGCACAUCGAAAAAAUAUUGACGAGUAAUUAUGAAUUUUUAUUUUCAUUAUUUCAAACAUUUUUAUAUUAGAAAAGCUAAAGAAAAUGAUUUAAAAACUUUGAAUUUUAAUGAUACGUACAAAAUGAAAGGUAAAAUAAAUAGUACCAGAAUUAACUUUUUGUUUAAAUUUUAUUUUCUAUUUGGCAUCAACUUUUGGUUUAAAUAUACUAUAUAACCCUCACAAAAGAAAAAGCAUGGUGUACUAGUAGCUAAAAGACAUAAAAAAGGUUAAUCUUAAUUUAUUAUUCUAAAGUUUCUUAGUUUUCAAUAUUUGGUAUAUAAAGUUUUUUUUAUUCUAGAGUUGUACAUAAAGUUAUAAUUUUGGGAUACUUUCAUACAUCCAUUAAGGUUGCUGUUAAAUUUAUCAUUAACUGAUGAUAUGACAUUUAUGUUGACAAUGACACGUAGAUAUUAAAAAUUAAAAAUUAAAUUAAUAAAAUAAUAAAAAUUAAAAAAAAAAAAAAAUUGGGCGUCUUCACCCUCACCCCUUCUGACCCCCCUCCCUUCUCUCCUCUGCACCCACGCUUCCCCCUCCCUCUUCGACUCCACCCAACGCUGCACUCCGAGGAUUGUUGCCAUCCUUUCAAGCCCAAUUUCGCCCCCAAAUAGGCCCGGGCAGUACUUGGCCAUAAACUUCAAGUCGUAGACCCUCUCGAACAAACGACCUGCCAUCUUUGCGAACUCAGUGGGGGAGCUGAGGAUGGUCUUCCUCGUCACCAGCUUCAUUACAUAGGCCGAGUCGUAGAGGCCGUGGAAGCUCACCCAUACGAGCUGCCCCCUGUGCACCCUUAAAAUCUCAACGAAACCCUCCACAAAAAUAUCCGAAUCAAUGCCGAACUUCCCAAAUUUCUCGAGAUCCAAGCCAUUCGCUUUGAGGAGGGCAAUGGAUUCUGGAACAUGGGGGUCGGUUUCCUCGUCAAAACCCCGAAAGUUGAACUCCCAGGUGCCGCCGACGUUGCCGCGGUCGUCGAACAGGGUGAUACCCACUUGGAUGAGAUUGAGAGAAUCGACAUUAAGGGCGAUAUCUUGGUAACGGAGGCCCUUGGAAGUGCCUCUGGGGGUGUUGCGGAGGAACCCCGGAAAUUCGGUGUCGAACGAGACGAUCGGAAAACGGCAGAGACACCGAUCGACGGAGGGAAGGGGAAAGGUGGGUGCAAAGGAGAGAACGGGAGUGGGGUCGGAAGGGGUGAGGAAGAAGAUGCCCAAAUUUUUUUAUUUAUUUAAUUUUUUUAGUUUUUAUUAUUUUAUUUUUUAAUAUGCACGUGUCAUCAUGUCAUUGUCCACGUGGAUAACACAUCAUUAGUUAACAGUAAAUUUAAAGGCAACCUUAAUGAAUGUAUAAAAUUGUUCCAAAAUUAUAACUUUAUGUACCACUCUGAGAUGAAAAAAACUUUAUUUACCAAAUAUUGAAAACAAAAAAACUUUAAGAUAAUAAACUAAUAUUAAUCCUAAAAAACUACUAAAGGAAAGGGUGAAAGAAAAAAUUAUUAGUUUGUGCUGUUCUCAUGGUAAUAGUGGUUUUUGUAUUGUACGAUCAUGUGUUACAUUUUAUGCAUUAUUAUGUGGAUGAAUGAAUAAGUUAAUUACAUCGCAUGUCAUAGGGUGAAUAUUACAUUAAAAAAUUCUUCAUUCUUGUUAUUCGUCAAAUUAAUGGUUGUGCAUUUGUAUGAGGACCUAGAUCUGUUGAGGAUGCAGAUCUUCACUCGUUGAAGGCCAUCCCUAUCUAUCUACUACUACUCUUUGGAAAAUAAUUGACUACAGAUGAUUGUACAAAAAAAUAAUUAAUAUUAUCUGAACAGCUCACCAUGCAUGUUCAGUAAAGUAAAGCGGAUUUGUUUAUUCAUUGUCUAGUUCAAACUUGGGGAGCAUUUUCUCAUUCUUGCGGUGAUCAGAAUAAUGUGAUUUAAGUCCAGUUAAACAUGCUUAAUUAUGCAUUUAAGCAUCUUUUAUUUAUUUGCUUUCAUUAUUUUUUCCUUCUUAAUGUGUUGUUAUUGUUUGGAACAACAAGUAAGACAAAUCUAGCCAGUUAGCAUUCACCGCAUCACCGCAUAAUGAAAGAUUAUUCAUAUUUGGAAAUGAAUAAUUAAUUAAAAAACUGUAUUAUUAAGGCAAAUGGGCACUUAAUAUUUGUAUCUUAAACCUUCCGAGUCGGAUAUUCGAGUAAAUUAGUUAAAAAGCUAUGCAAAAUGUGAAUGUGACAGACUACGUAGUAAAGUUUGGGUUAAGAGAGAGAGAGAGAGAGAGAGAGAGUAUUUCGCAGCCGGCUGGUCCCUAUGUACGGGAAGAAUCAUAGAAAGUUAGGUAACUACACACAUUUUUCAAAGAUGUCGAUCAUGAAAAAUAUUUGAUAACAAAUUCAGGGAGGACAUACUGCUUAAAUUAUUAACCUAGAAAUAAAGUUCGAUCUCUUGCUUUAACUUUUCUGCUACGUAGCUCUUAUUGCAUUAAACAAAGCCUUAUUAAAGUAAAGAUGGUCACACCCUUAGCCCUUUAGGUGAUACGUUCAGGGAAAUGGUUAAUGUUUUUACAAGCUCUUGUUUAUUUUUAUUUUUUAAUAUUUUCAGAUAUUUUUACAAUCUUUUACUGCGCAGUAAUAGAGUGUAAAAAUCAUAUCUAUGUAUUUAUUUAUUAUUAACUAUGUUUACAAUGAACCUUCUAUUCCAUGAAACAAGAUAUAAAAAUAAAAAUAAAAAGGAGAAGGGCAUAAAUUAACAAAAUUCGGUCAAAGGCCGCAUUGGUCCAAACAUUAAUUGAUAAUCUAUGACAAAUAGUCUGGCCCCAUUAGCAUUAUUUUAACAGUAAUAUUGUUUUUUUACUAAGAUAAUUAAUAAUUGCCAAGUGAAAAUUUGGCAUGAGUACCAUUGUGAAGGGUAAAAACCAAAGCUAUAUAAAGGGUGAGGAGGCUUAGCUUCAGAGGCAGACAACCAAAAACCCAUUCUUAACGAAGGAUGGGAAAAAUGGUGCCUUCACAAGUGACCUCUCUUGUGGUCACUCUCCUAGUGGCAAUAGUCUCUCUCACAUUGCCUUCAGAAACUUCAGCUAACUACCCUUACACCUCUCCACCACCACCGGCCUCUCCUCCCUACCAUUACAAGUCACCACCGCCUCCUUCUCCUUCUCCUCCAGUGCACUACUCACCACCUAAGCAUCCCUACCACCCUAAGUCACCACCACCUCCUGUGUACGCACCACCUAAGCAUCCCUACCACCCUAAGUCACCACCACCUCCUGUGUACCCACCACCUAAGCAUCCCUACCACCCCAAGUCACCACCACCAUCACCAAAGCCUUACCACUACAAAUCCCCACCACCACCUCCUGCUCCAGUGCACUCACCACCCCCACCUAAGGAGCCAUACCACUACAAGUCCCCACCACCACCACCCAAGAAGCCCUACCACUACAAAUCUCCCCCACCACCUCCUCCUCCAGUUCACUCACCACCACCACCCAAGGAGCCUUACCACUACAAAUCUCCACCACCACCACCCAAGAAACCUUACUAUUACAAGUCUCCUCCACCACCACCAAAGAAGCCUUACCACUACAUGUCUCCUCCCCCACCGGUGUACUCACCACCUCCACCAGUGCACUCACACCCACCACCAAAAAAGCCUUACCAUUACAAAUCUCCUCCCCCGCCAGAAUAUUCACCAGCUCCACCAGUGCACUCAACCCCACCACCAAAGAAGCCCUACCAUUACAAAUCCCCACCACCACCACCACCACACAAGAAGCCUUAUUACCCUGUUCACUCACCACCUCCACCUAAGAAGCCUUACCACUACAAAUCCCCACCACCACCUUCUCCUACUCCUCCUAAAUACUCACCACCUAAGCACCCCUACCACUACAAGUCUCCACCACCACCACCAAAGAAGCCUUACCAUUACAAGUCCCCACCACCUCCUUCUCCUACUCCCCCUAAAUACUCACCACCUAAGCACCCCUACCACUACAAGUCACCACCACCACCACCCCAAGAAGCCUUACCACUACAAGUCUCCACCACCACCACCUCCUCCAGUUCCCACACCAUCUCCACCCAAGAAACCUUACCACUACAAGUCUCCCCCACCACCCCCUCCAGUCUACAAGUCUCCUCCACCACCAGUUUACUCACCACCACCACCACCUAAGAAACCUUACAAGCCACCAACUCCUCCAGCAGUUCACCCACCACACGGUUACAUCUAUUCCUCACCCCCACCUCCUCACCACUACUAGAUAUUGAAAGUUUAAUUGCAUCAAGCUGGUAAGCUUCUCCAUUCUAUGCUAUUAUUCAUUAAUUAGUUAGUACUACUGUUGUCAAUUUGGAAAUCACCAUAC
rnacentral:lncRNA from 1 species